rnacentral:lncRNA from 1 species
UGAAUUCAAGUUUGCAAAUGAUGUUUGCCAAGUUCAUUUUGGAAAUGAAUGUAUUGCAUAUGGUACUUUAAUCAAUAGUCUCUAUUAUUUAAAUAUAUAUGUAGAUAAAGCUGAAACACAUAAUGUAAAUAUAAAUGCCAAAGCAACCAAAGAUCUAAAUCUGAGAUAUUUGUGGCAUCUUAGAUUAGGUCAUAUUGCAGAAGAAAGAAUUGCUAAAUUGGUUAAAAUGGGAUUAUUGAAUUCUAUUGGUUCUGAACCAUAUACAACAUGUGAAUCUUGUUUUCAAGGCAAAAUAGUGCAAUCACCCUUUACGGGACAAAGGGAACGAGCUUCAAAUGUUUUAGGAUUGAUACAUAGUGAUGUAUAUGAAACUUUUGACAUUAUGGCACGUGGUGGUUACACUAACUCUAUUACCUUUAUUGAUGAUUUAUCAUUGCAUGGGUAUUUGUAUCUUAUGAGAUACAAGUUUGAAUCCUUUGAAAAGUACAAGGAAUUUAAAGUUGAAGUGGAGAAUCAGACAAGGCUAAGUAUUAAAGCCCUUCGAUCUGAUCGAGGUGGUGAAUAUUUUAGUAGUGAGUUUGAUCAGUUCCUAAAGAAACAUGGCAUUGUUUCACAGUUAACUCCCUUUGGAACACCAUAAUGGAAUGGUGUAUCUGAGAGGAGGAAUUGCACCUUGUUAGACAUGGUACGAUAGAUGAUGAGCUCCACUGACUUACCGACUUCCUUAUAGGGAUAUGCCCUUCUUACAGCGUUAUACCUUUUGAAUAGAAUUCCUUCUAAGUAUGUUCCUAAAACUCUAUAUGAGAUAUGGACUAGCAGGGAACCCAGUCUUAAAUAUGUUAAGAUUUAGGGUUAUCCAGCUUUUGUUAAAAAGCUAAAAAUAGUAAAAUUGGAACCCCGGUCUAUUAAAGGGAGAUUUGUUGGAUAUCCUAAUAAACAAAGGGAUCUUAUUUCUAUCUUCCUGUUGAUAUGACCAUCGUUAUUAGUAGAGAUGCUCUCUUUUUUGAAAAAUAGUUUAUUCAAGAUAGUGGGAUCAAAAGGAAGAUAGAAUUCGAUGAAGUAUCAUAUGAAGAAAGAAUCAAUCAAGAACCAGUUAAUGAACCAUCACCUAUAAACUCUAUCAUUACAUUACCUCGAAGAUCUAGUAGAAUUUCUCAUCCACCAAAGAGAUAUGGCACACUCCAUAGGAAUCUAAAAGAGUUAUUCAUUUAUGAGAUGCAGAUCAUAUAGAUGAUCCUACUAGUUAUGAAGAAUCAAUAUCAUUUAUUGAUUCUAGUAAAUGGCAUGAGGCAAUGAGAUCAGAAAUGGAUUCCAUGUAUAAGAAUGAAGUCUGAGAUCUUAUAGACCCUCCUGACGGUAUUGUACCUAUAGGGAACAAAUGGGUUUAUAAGAGAAAGAUUGGUUAUGAUGGGAAUGUUGAAACCUUUAAAGGUAAGCAGGUGGCGAAAGGGUAUCUUUAAAGGCAAGGAAUUGACUAUGAUGAAACUUUCUCGCCUAUAGCCAUGUUCAAAUCCAUUAGGAUUUAAUUAGCCAUUACUACACACUAUGAUUAUGAGAUUUGGCAGAUGGAUGUCAAAACAGCCUUCCUUAAUGGAUAUAUUAAGGAGGAGAUCUAUAUGGACUAACCUAAGGGCUUUGAAUCCAAGAGUAGUCAUAAUCAAGUAAGCAAACUUAAGAGAUCCAUUUAUGGUCUUAAAUAAGCUUCGAGGAGUUGGAACAUCCAUUUUGAUGAUGCAAUUAAAUCAUUUGGUUUCAUCAAAAAUAUGGAUGAAACAUGUGUAUACAAGAAGGUUAGUAGGAGUGCUAUCACUUUUCUUGUACUUUAUGUAGAUGACAUAUUGUUGUUCAGAAAUAAUAUAGGCAAUACUUCCAUAAAAGUAUGAUUGUCAAAGAUUUUCUCCAUUAAAGAUUUAGGUGAAGCAACCUAUAUUUUGGAAAUUCAUAUCUAUAAAGAUAGAUUGAAAAGGACUAUAGGCCUUUUCCGAGGUCUUUACUUAGACAAGGUAUUGAAGAAAUUCAACAUGCUUGAUUCUAAGAGGGGAUUGUUACAUUUUAGGUAUGGUAUUCAUCUUUCAAAGAACAUGUCUCCAAAGACAUAUGGUGAAAAAGAAUAGAUGGCCAGGAUUCCGUAUGCUUCAGCAAUUAGAAGUUUAAUGUAUGCUAUAUUGUGUACUAGGCUAGACAUUGGCUAUGUUAUCAAUGUGACUAGCAGGUUUCAGUCUAACCCAGACAAGGAGCACUAGGAAACGGUCCAGAAUAUCUUUAAGUACUUGCGAAGGACUAAAGAUAUAUUCUUGACAUAUGGUGGAGGAGAAUUGAGUUUACAUGGUUAUACCAAUUAGAUGUGGAUGAUAUAAAGUCUAUCUCAGGGUUUGUAUUUAUAUGUAAUGGAGGAGAAGUAAGUUGGAAAAGUUCCAAACAUCAUACUACAGCAGACUCCACUACAGAGAUCGAGUAUGUUAUUGCAUCUGAUGCAGCAAAGGAAGCGGUUUGGAUUAAAAGGUUCAUGACAAAACUUGGAUUGGUUCCAAACAUCGAGUCAACAGUACCUAUCUUUUGUGACAAUAAUAGGGCUAUUGCACAAGCCAAGGAACCCAGGUCUCAUAAAAAAUCCAAACAUAUCGAAAGACGUUUCCAUAUCAUACGUGAAAUCAUUGGUGGAGGCAAUAUAGCCAUAUAAAGAAUAGAAUCAAAAUAUAAUGUAGCUUAUCCCUUUAUUAAAGCCAUAAUGCAGAUAUAAUUGGAUCGCUAUCUUAAGAAGAUGGGUUUCAGAUACUAUCCCAAUUGGCUUUAGUACAAGUGGAAGAUUGUUAGAUGUAUGUCCUAAAAGCCAAUUGGAAUUUUGCUUUUUGGUUCAUACAUUGUGAUAUUAUUAUGUGAUGAUUAUCUUUUCAUUUAUGGUAGUUGUCUUUCAUUUAUUUUUGUAGUAACAUAAUUAUUGAAUGAGUCAAAUAAUAUUUAUUAAAAACUUCAUUCUUAAGAGUUGAGAAUAUGAGUGACGGAUGAUCUUUAGAAUAAAUAUUAUAUAAUAGUUCUUGGUCAUAGGAUUAAAUAUUGAACAUCUUUAAUCCAAAAGACCAACAUAAUGUGUUUAAGCCUAUGAUUAGUAUGAGAUACUAAUAUACAUAGGAUGGCGAGUCUCAUGCUAUUUAGUAUGAGUUACUAAGUUAAUCAUUAUGGGUCACUUGUAAGACAAGUGAACUGAACAUGACUUGUAGAAAUAAUAAAUCACAUGGAUAAUUGAUGUAUUUCGUAUCCGUCAACAAUCUCCUUGCGAAACUGCACCAUCUUUUACAUCUUUAAGGUCUUUGAUAGGAGACUUGAACUCGAUAUAUAGAGUAAGUGAAUUUUUCUCUAAAGCAUCAGGUGGUUGAUAGAAAAUUCGAGAGAUUUUGUAAAUCCAGCAUCAACAAAUCUUUAACACCAGCUUUUGUAUCAUUAAAAGCUUUUAACUCACUUGAUCGACAAUAUUUAGGGUUGAAUGUGGAGUUCAUUUCUCUGUAGUCAAGAAAUAAAACAAUGGCAAAGUGACAAAAUACAAAAGAAAAUAUUAGUAAGAUAAUACAAAAGAAGAUAGUUUUUAGUUGAAUAGUUAAAAAUGACCCAAAUAUUCUUACCAAAAAGCAAAUAGUCAGCAAUCAGUAGCUCUCUCUUUCUUUUCUCUGUAUCUUCAUCUCAUUUACAACAAGACUGAAAGUGAUUUCAUGUUUAGCAAAAAUUGGAUCCACUCAUUCCUAACUUUUGACCCAGUUGGUUAUGCAAAUCGGUAACCUCAUUUUGUAGAUUUCAUUGUUAAAUGCAAGCUGCAAUGCCUUUGCUGAAAGUUUCUCAUGGUCGUAGUUAAGAAUCUCCAUUCUUUCGGAUAUUCUCUAGUGAGAUUCCUUCAACUCAGCAUUCAAGGAAGAUAGUUUCUUUUGACUCUUCCAAAUAUGCAUUCAAAGAUAGUAUUUGAAUUUGCACCGUUCUACAGCAAAGAACUAUUAUCAUGGUUAGCCUCUGAAAAUGCACCUUUUAGCCACUCAAUCCUAUCCUCUGGUUCCAUAGAUCGCAGAUGUGCAAGCAUAUUGAAAAUGUUUAAUAGUUCUUCCCAUCUUUGCACUAACUAGUUCCUUUUCAUAAAUGAAUGUUCCAACAUUUCAUUUUGUUCAGCUAAUCCAUAAAACUUGCUUUGAAGAUCCUCAUAUUUCCUUGUCAAGUAAUGGAGUUGGGGCCAAUUUGAUGCUAGGAAUUUUUAUAUUCACAUUUUAGGGUUCAACUGAGGGAAAUUAGGAAUUAAUUUAAGGGAAGAUAGGGAAUGGGACCCACUUGCUGAUUAGACUAUUUUUUUAGUGAUGUGGCAAUAGCUGAUAUGGAGAAUCUAAAGGAAUAUUCCUUCUCAUAUUGCCAUAUCAACUUCAAUUGGCCAGAAAAUGGAAAGCUACCCUAAAUUGAUCUACUUUUGUAAAGUUUGAGUACUAAUUAGAAUCAAAUUAAAGUAUUGGUCUUGAUUUGUAACACAGUCCAAAUGUUUGGUACCAACUGAGCAAUUUACCCCUAUCUACCAAAACAUUUCCCACAACAUGGGUGCCAAGGAGCUUAAAAAAUGGAUCACCAGAUUCAUCAAUCAAUUUGUCCCUAGCUAGAGCCAAAGGAGCAGCAGUGCCAAGCAGCUCAAUGUCUUGUGAGCAUGUGAUUUUAAUUCCUAGCUUUGCCUUAAGUUGCUUCAAAAAGUAGGCAUUUCAAAUUGUUUGUUGACACGGACAAAGUCAAGGAAAACUUCUGAAAUUAUUCCAAUAUUGGACCUUAGACAUAUAAUAGUUUUGAAUUGAAUCUCUGUAGAAAGAAGAUCUUUUGUCUCACGGUAGCCCGCUCCAGUCCCCUUACGAAACUUUCGUUAUUGGGUUAGCCAUAUACUUUACAUGUUUCUAGCGAUUCACAUGGCAUCAUCAAAUGAUACAAGUCUCAGAUAAGAAUCUACAACGCACUAGAACACCCUUGUUGAUGAUCCUUUACUCCGACAGCAUCUAGGGUCCCUCGAACAAUAUGAUAUCUCAUACCGGGUAAAUCCUUAACCCUUUCCCCUCUUACUAAGACUACAGAAUGUUCUUAUGAAUUAUGGCCAAUACCAGGUAUAUAAGCAGUGAUUUCAAAUCCAAAGGUUAAUCGUACUCUGGCAACUUUACAUAAGGCAGAGUUUGGUUUUCUAGGGGUGAUAGUGGAAAAGUUGACAUAAGAAAUUCUAAAUAAAAUAGAAGAUAAUACCAUUUAAAAUUAAGAUAAGACCAUGAUACAAUUAUAGUAUAUAGUUAUAGUAUUUUCUAUAUAGAUUUUAUUGUAUAGUUAUAGUAUUUGAAUAAAAAUGAAAUAGAAUUUCAUUAGUAAAUUGUGUCUCACGCAUAUAUACCUUUAAUAAAAUGCAUUUGGAUAACAUCCUUUUUCGAUUAGGUAUGGCGUCAACUAUUCUCCGAGCUCGCCAAUUAGUUAAUCAUAGACAUAUUUUAGUUAAUGGUCAUAUAAUAGAUAUACCAAGUUAUCGCUGCAAACCCCGAGAUAUACUUCUACCCCGAGCACAUGCAAUGGAGCCGUAGACAGUCAAGUGAAAUCCACUACACGAAAUACACGAAAUAAUUUGAUCUAUGGACAGCAUCAUUGUGGUAAAGGCCGUAACACCAGAGGAAUCAUUACCGCAAGGCAUAGAGGGGGAGGUCAUAAGCGUCUAUACUGUAAAAUCGAUUUUUGACGGAAUGAAAAAGACAUAUAUGGGAGAAUUGUAACCAUAGAAUACGACCCUAAUCGAAAUGCAUACAUUUGUCUCAUACACUAUGGGGAUGCUGAGAAGAGAUAUAUUUUACAUCAUAGAGGGGCUAUAAUUGGAGAUACCAUUAUUUCUGGUACAGAAGUUCCUAUAAAUAUGGGAAAUGCCCUACCUUUGAGUGUGGUUUGAACUAUUGAUUUACGUAAUUGGAAGUAACCAAUUAGGUUUACGAUGAAAUCUAGAAAUCGAUCACUGAUCCAAAUUGAGUACCUCUACACGAUAGACCUCAAUAAAAAACUGAAGAGUAACGGCUAACAUCACCUGUAGAUAAAUAGAGCAACACCAUAAGCAGGCAACCAAAAUUCAUUUGAAUCAACCUCUUAAUCAUAACUUUAACUUAAUGAUUAGAAAAGGGAAGAAAAAAGGGGAGGAUUCAUUCUUUAACUAUGGUUGGUAGUUAAUAGCCAAGAACACAUUAGUAACUACAAUCGCCUCAAGAGCCUUAAUCUGUAAGGAACUCAAAGUCAAUCCAUGAAUACUUUUGCAAGCACCUAAUAAAGCUCUAACAAAAUGUGUUGCUUCUCAAAGAUGGAUCUUUAAAAGCCUUGGAAAAUUCAAUACAAUACUUGUAAAUGUAUACCUGAUGUUUGUAAGCAAAUUCAACAAGUGGUUGAGGAACAAUGAGAGUCAAUGGCCUCAAACGUGUCCCAAACCCUCCAACAAGAAUUAAUGCCUUCAUUGUAAUAUGGCCUCUUGUCUUUCAGUAAAUUGCAACAUUGGGAACUGGACAAAUUCUUAACACACAGAUCAAUACAUAAUGGAACCUAAAACAACAUCAACAACAAUAGAACUCCAACCAAGUUUCAUUCAAUGGACCAAGAAUUAAAUAUAUACUUCAGACCAACAUCUAUAGAUCUUAAGAAUUUUUAUCUUAUACUAAAGCUAUUGAACCUCUACUAGAAGGUACCGAUACAAAUUCAUGUUAGGUUAGAAGAGAAAUAUAAUCAUCACACUUUUUAGAGAGGAAGUGCUAGAUACUUAAAAAUGACAAAGCAAAUAAAAUAACAAGUAACUCUAAAUACAUAUCGUGAUGUAACUUAAAGAGUAACAUAAUCCUAUCCAAAUAAGUUAGUUGUAAUUAGCAAACAACUCCAGCAAAAGAAUAGGUUGGAAACUUUAAUGAGAAUGAACAAAUUAAUUCAUUCACCAUGAGUUAUUCUGUAAAUCUAACCAAGAAUCUACUUACUAUAUAAUUGAUAACUUGGUCAAGAAAAUUAAACUAUCAACAAGGUCUUUAAGUCUAACCCGAGUUUCGGUGUAUCAAAAAUAAUAGUCAGAAAGCGCCGGACAAGGUGGUUCAGCUACUCACUCUGAUGGCUAAGUCAGUAAUGGUUUUGAGUUGUAAAGUAUGUAAUAAUAGUAGAAUAAUAAAUAUAACUAACAUGUUGUAUCAUAGUCCUUUAUAUAGAGAUUGAAAGUCUCCUAGUUCUACAAGAAGUAGGACUUUGUAAAUAUAAAAUCUCCCGACCCUAUCAAAAUUAGUCUUAUUAGUCAAACAAUAGUAUUGUAAGUCUGAUCCGAAUUCUAACUAGAGCUCGACUAUGAUUUGAUCUUCAAGACUUCUUGUUCUACUUGAAUUUGGACUUAGUCAAUCCUGUAUUUCUUGGUUAUGACAACUCGGCAUGUAAUGAUCGAUUAUUAUUAGAUGCUUAGCCUACUCUUGUCUGCUCAGCCUAUUCUUUCAUACUCAACAUACUUUUUAAUGGUCGACUUAUUCUUUUAUGGCCGCCCUAUUUUGUCAUUCUUCAUGGUAGAUCUACUAUUUCCUGCUCGACCUACUAUUUUAUGCUCGGCCUAUUCAUGGUUAGCAAAUUCUCUCAUGGUCAGUCUAUUCUAUCAUGCUUGGCCUAUUAUUCAUGCUCAAUUUAUAUUUUAGUCAGUUAUCAUUAGCCCCUCCCUCUUGUGAGAGAAUGUUUAUGCUCGGUAAUUGAUAACUUCUUGAAUGAUCUUGAUAUUAUGGAGAUUGGUUAGCGAGCUCGAAAGGAUGUUGUUUAUCUAGAUGCUCUCGUGAAAAUUCAUUAAUCACUUUGGAUGAACUAGUGUUAUGUAGUUCUUGGAGCUUGUUUGCACAUUUGGAUGAAUUAGUCUUCUACUCUUUGAUGAGCUCAUGUAAUUUUGCUCUCUAGUGAGCUCGUGUAUUGCUCUCCAAUGAGUUCAUGUACUUAUACUCUCUAGAGCUUAUUUAAGUUUGCUCUUCUUUGAGCUCAUGUAUUAUUGCUCUCUAAUGAGCUUAUGUACUAUUACUUUCAAUGAGCUCAUUUACUUUUGCACCUUUGAGCUCAUGUAUUAUUGCUCUCUAAUCGGCUCAUGUACUGUUGUUCUCCAAUAAGCUCAUGCAUUAGAUUAGUUAUUUUAUAAUAAGCACUCAUGAUGAGCUUGAGAUCAACACUUUUUAUAUGUUAUGGUGCUCCUUCAUGAGCUUUGGAGAUCGAUACUUUAUUAUGUGCCUUGGUCCUCUUUCAUGAGCUUUAGAGAUUGGCACUUUGUUACAUUCCUUAGUGCUCUCUCACGAGCUUUGGAUAUCAACACGUUUUUAUGUGCUUUGGUGCUCUCUCAUGAGCUUUGAAGCUCAACACUUUCUUUAUGUGCUUUGGUGCUCUUCCAUAAGCUUUGGACAUCGACAUUUUAUUUAUGUGCUUUGGUGCUCUUUCAUGAGCUUUAAAGAUCAGCACUUUGUUAUGUGCUUUGGUGCUUUCUCAUGAGUUUUAGAGAUUGGCACUUUGUUAUGUGCAUUAGUGCUCUCUCAUGGGCUUUGGAUAUCGACACCCUUUUUAUAUGUUUUGAUGCUCCCUCAUGAGCUUUGGAGAUUGUCACUUUAUUAUGUGCUUUGGUGCUUUCUCACGAGCUUUAGAGAUUGACAUUUUUUAUGUGCCUUGGUGCUCUCUCAUGAGCUUUGGAUAUCAUCACUUUUUUAUAUGUUUUGAUGCUCUCUCAUGAGCUUUGGAGAUCGAUACUUUUUUAUGUGUUUUGGUGCUCACUCACGAGCUUUAGAGAUUAGCACUUUUUUAUGUGCUUUAAUGCUCUCUCAUGAUCUUUAAAGAUCGACACUUUUUUAUGUACUUUGGUGCUAUCUCAUGAGCUUUAGAGAUCGACAUUUUUAUAUGAGCUUUGGUGCUCUCUCAUGAGCUUGGAGAUUGACAUUUUGUUAUGUGCUUUGGUGCUCUCUCAUGAGCUUUGGAUAUCGGCACUUUUUUAUGUGCUUUGGUGCUCCUUCAUGGCUUUGCACAUCGACACUAUUUUAUGUGCAUUAAUGCUCUCUCUUGGAGAUCGACACUUCUUUUAUGUGACUUGGUGCUCUCUCAUGAGCUUUAUAGAUCAAUACUUUGUUAUGUGCUUUGGUGCUCUGUCAUGAGCUUUGGAGAUCAACACUUACUUUUACUACUAUUAUUAUCUUUAGAUCCUCUCUUUUCUUAUUUAGAUUAGUGCCUCAUGUGUCCAUAUGCUCAUCUUCCUUGUUUUGAUCCUUUAUAUCGUAUUAUGAUUUCUAUUGGAGCUAAUUACCAAAGAUAAAUAUGUGAGAUAAGUGUAGUACUUACUUCUUGAUGUUGUAUAAACUUAUGGGUGAAGAACAUUACUGUCCUUGCUUGUCGUCAUUAAUUUAUGAUUUUUUUUUUUGUAGAAAAGGACUUAAUUCUUUUUCCACAAAUGGUGCCAUUUGAUAACUUGGUCAAGAAAGGUGAGCUAUCAACAAGGUCUUUAAGUCUGACCCGAGCUCUGAUGUACUUGAAACAAUGGUUAGAAAGCGUCGGACGGGGUUGUCCGACCACUCACUCUGAUGGCUAAGUCAGUAAUGGUUUUGAGUUGUAAAGUAUAUAGUAAUAGUAAAAUAAUAAAUGUAUCUGACAUAUUGUGUCACAACCUUUAUAUAGAGANNNNNNNNNNNNNNNNNNNNNNNNNNNNNNNNNNNNNNNNNNNNNNNNNNNNNNNNNNNNNNNNNNNNNNNNNNNNNNNNNNNNNNNNNNNNNNNNNNNNNNNNNNNNNNNNNNNNNNNNNNNNNNNNNNNNNNNNNNNNNNNNNNNNNNNNNNNNNNNNNNNNNNNNNNNNNNNNNNNNNNNNNNNNNNNNNNNNNNNNNNNNNNNNNNNNNNNNNNNNNNNNNNNNNNNNNNNNNNNNNNNNNNNNNNNNNNNNNNNNNNNNNNNNNNNNNNNGUGAUUCUGGAGAAAGAGAACUUUGGGGUAUUCAAGACAGACUUUGAGAGAAACUUCCAGACGAUUAAGAAGAGCAAAACAGAGACGGAUUCCACUUUAAUAUCAUCCAGGUAGCUGUUUUUAAGGAUUGGAUUGAAGAUUCAAAGGAAAGAAGAAGGAGAUUUUGAGCUGCAGAGAUUGGAUUCAGAGUUAUUCAAGAGGGGAUACCAUUUCCACCAUUUGAGAAAAGGGUGUACAUGUUCUUUUCGAUUCUUGUUUACUUUAUAUUUAUUCUUGUAUUAGUUUAAUCAUGAACAUGUGUAACUAAUCUUAUUAAACCCAUUUGGGGGUAAUCUUUAGCUAUGCUAAGCUUGUUUUAUGCUUAAUCGAUUGAAUUGUUGAUUUAAGAUUGUAGUUUUCAUUCAAGUAUAAUAAAAUCUAUUGUUUCUUCUUCAUUGUUGAAUUAAUUUGAGAACUCCUUUGUAAUUGAGAAAUUCAAUUGAGUUUGGACAACUGCUUGUAAUUAAGUGAUUUGCAACGUAAAGAUAAGCGUAAUAACUUACUGGAAUAAGAACUAGAUAUUUUUAUUAGCGGUAAUUUAGAGAUUAAUGUUAUUCUAAUAUCAAUUGUUAGGAAGAGAUUCCAACUUUAGAUCUUUAGGAUUAGGAAUUGGUUAACUCGAGAGAGAGGCCAAUUCAUUUAAGAAAUUAUCCACAGACCGCAAUUCUUAAUCAAUCAAUUCAUAAAUUAUUGUUUUUAAGCCGGCUAGCUAAAAGGAUCCCCAAUUAGGUUAACUCAUCUCAUUGUCUUUUUCAAACUUUCAUUCUCUUUGUUAAAAUUUAGUUUCCAUUUGCAUUCUCAAUUAUUUUUAGUUAAUGAUCUUCACCACCUUUUGAUCGGUUAGAUAAUAGGAAUAGUGUACUAACAGUAGCUUCUUAGUUUUCGUGGGAUACGAUAUUGAUACUUGCCAUAGCUAGAUUAGAUUCGAUAGAUGCACUUGCCUGUAGACCCUUUGAUUAUUAGUCGUUAUCAGGGAAUUGUUUUAAGAAAUAUUGUGAACUAUGUGUUCUUAUUAAUUUAGCCAUUUAUUCUUUGUUCUGUAUUCAUUUUUGUUUGAUUUUAUUCUUUUAUUCAAUUUUGUUGUUGGUUAUUCGUUAUUCAGGUAGUGUAUGGCCAAGAGGUCCAAUCCUGAUCUAGUCGACCCUCUACCAGAACUAGAGCGAUCCCUCUAGCAGUUAAGGAAAUGGUUGAACAUAAAGGAGGAAGAGAUUCGGGUUGGAAAAGCCAUAGACGAGAGUGAGUGGAAGACAUUACAGUAAAGAUGGCAGAUGCUAAGGACAACAAUGAGAAUAACCGGAUAAUUUAUGAUUUUGUGAGACCAUCACUGGAGGGGAUGCAAACAUGCAUUACGAGACUGCCUGUCGCUGCCAAUAAUUUUGAAAUAAAGCCUAAUGUGAUUCAGAUGGUGCAGCAAACGGUUCAAUUCAGAGGCAUGCCAGAUGAGGAUCCUAACGCGCAUAUAGCGAGUUUCGUAGAGAUUUGUGAUACCUUCAAGAUUAAUGGAACAACAGACGAUGCAAUUCAUCUCCGCUUGUUUCCAUUUUCUUUGAAGGAUAGAGCAAAGCAGUGGCUACAGUCGCUACCUCCAAACAUUAUCACUACUUGAGAUUCUUUGGUAGAAAUUUUUUUGUUUAAGUACUUUCCUCCCUCUAAAAGUGCUAAACUUAGAAAUGACAUAUCCACUUUUGUGCAGUUUGAUGAUGAGUCAAUGUACAACACCUGGAAAAGAUACAAUGACCUACUUAGAUGCUACCCACACCAUGGACUACCAAUCUGGUUAGAGGUACAAACUUUUUAUAAUGGUUUGAAUUUGACUAGCAGAUAGUAGAUGCAGCUGCUGGUAGUUCUUUAAGCAGCAAGACACCAAAGCAAGCCCAAAGCUUGAUAGAGGAGAUGGCCACAAACAAUUACCAGUGGCACAUUACUAGGAGCAGGACGGGAUGUCAAGGGAGUGUACACUAGUUGGAUGCCAUUGCAGCCUUGGCGGCUCAAAUGGAGUUAUUGUCCGAGAAAAUUGAUCAACUCUAGAUGCCUGUCCAAGCAGCUCAAGCAGGUUGUGAGUUUUGUGGUGGCCAGCAUUUCAGUAGUAACUGUAUGUCGGGAGGUAUGUUUGCUUCUUCUUCAUCUAACUUUGAGCAGGUAGACUAUAUGGGCAGUCAGCCUAGGCAGCAGAACAACCUGUAUAGCAACACUUAUAAUCCGGUAUGGAGAAAUCAUCCGAACUUCGGAUGGAGGAACAACAACAACCAUGGGCCAUCAGGGUUUCAACGACUACAUUAGCAGCCGCAACAAUCUAUUCUCCCACCUCAGUCUUCUCAAGCUCAAGAGAAAAAGCAUAACUUAGAGGAGCUGAUGAUGAAGUUUGUGUCCACUUGAGAGACCAGAUUCCAACAAAUGGACGCAACUUUUAGAAAUCAACAAGCCUCCAUUCAAAACUUGGAGAAUCAAAUAGGCCAGAUUUCUAAGAUGUUGGUUAAGAGGCAGCCGAGGACUUUAUGUAGUAAUAGAAAGUCCAAUCCGAGAGAGCAUGUGAACGCAAUCACUUUGGGUCAGGUAAGUAUAUUCCUGGUUUUUCUCCUGUUUCUAAUAAUGAUAUUGAUGCGCAGGUAGAUUCAAGCAAAAAGGUAGAAGAUAACUAGGCAGAGGAACUAGAGAAGGAAGAGGCAAAGAAGAUUCCAUUGAGGGAAUACCAGCCUAAAAUUCCUCACCCUCCUAGGUUGAAGCAGGCGCAAGUCGAGCAACAGUUUGGUAAACUUCUUAAUGUAUUUAAACAACUGCACAUAAACUUACCUUUUGUUGAAGCUAUUUCACAGAUGUCUAGGUAUGCGAAGUUCUUAGAGGAGAUCCUUAGCAACAAAAGGAAGUUUGAGGACUUGUCAUUCGUGACGCUAAAAAAGGAAUGUUCAGCGAUUUUCCAAAACAAGUUACCGGAAAAGAAACAAGAUCCAAGGAGUUUUACUAUCCCUUGUGGUAUAGGUGACUUAACUAUUAGUGAUGCUUUAGCUGAUUUAGGAGCUAGCAUUAAUGUAAUUCCAUACAACCUAUUUGCUAAGUUGGGGCUGGGAGAGACAAAACACACUAGGAUGAGUAUACAACUAGCUGAUAGGUCAGUCAAGUAUCCUAAGGGUGUUGUAGAGAAUGUGCUUGUUAAGGUGGAUAAAUUUAUAUUUUCUGUUGACUUUGUAAUCUUAGACAUGGAUGGUGGGAGUAGUGUACCUUUGAUUCUAGGUAGACCUUUCCUUGCAACAUCUAGGGCGAUUAUAGAUAUUUGUGAUGGAAAGCUUGAACUUAGGGUAGGGGAUGAGACUGUCACCUUUGACUUGAAUAAUUCUAUGAGAUAGUCUUUAGAUCAUGAUGAUGUUGUGUAUUCUAUUAAUGUACUUGAUGAUGUUGUUGAAACACAGUUGCAGAAAAUGUUGGUUGAAGACCCUCUACAAGUCACUUUGCCAAUGGAAGAUAAGCAUGAGCUGUCAAAUGAGAAUGUGUUGGAGCAACUUGCAUUUUUGUUAGCUAAUGAACCAAGCAAGAAUACUGAUAAGUUUAUUGUAAUUGACAGGGUAGGUGUGCAGAAGUUGAGGUCAUCAAUUGAGGAACCACCAGUUCUUGAGUUGAAAGAGCUCCCAAAGCAUAUCGAUUAUGCAUAUCAAGACAAAGACAAUAAUUUGCCUGACAUUUCAGCAGCAGACUUGACACCCGAGGUAAGGGAGAUGACAUUAUCCUCUCUAAGGAAGUACCAAAAGGCGUUUGCUUGGGAGAUGACGUUUCUUCUUUUUUAAAUCCAUAAUUUCUAUUAAUUGUAUUUCUUUUACUCCUGUCAAUUCUCAGACCUUAUGGCAUUUCAUUUAAGCCAUCUUUCUUUUCCUCAUCUAAGAACUCUUUAUCAAUUACAUGAUGAAAUUACUUGUUCCAAAAAAUUUUGAAGUGAUAUUUGCCAUUUAGCCAAACUACAAAGACCUUCAUUUCUUAUAAGUGAAUCUAUUUCUAAAUAAUGUUUUAAUCUCAUCUAUAUAGAUAUAAUGGACCUAUAUCCCAAGCUUCUUUACGUAGCCACCACUAUUUUUUAUAUAGUUGAUGAUAAAAGUCGCUUUACUUGGAUUUUUCCCAUGAAAACAAAAAGUGAUACUCAUUUAUUGAUUCAAAAUCUUUGCACCUUUGUCGAGACAUAAUUUUCUUGUUAAGGUCAAGGUUUUACAUAGUGACAAUAGAAAGAGUUUGAUAUAUAGUCUUGUUUCAAGGCAUUAUUGACCAAACAUUGUAACUAUACCCUAUAGCAAAACAACGUCAUUGAACGCAAGCACAAAUACAUUUGGAAUGUGGCACGAUCACUCUGUAUCCAAGCUCAUUUACCUUUGAUUUACUAAAUUAAUUAUGUUCUACCUGCAAUCCAUUUGAUUAACCAUAUCCCUACUCCUAUACUUCAAAAUAAAACACCCUAUGAAAUUAUUUUUUGAUAAGCCUCUAACAUUUGUCCACCUUAAAGUCUUUGGGUGCCAAUUCUAUGCCUAUAAACUUGGCCCACAUAAAGAUAAAUUUUCACCCAAGGCCCUAAAAUGUUUGUUCUUGGGCUACCCAUCUAAUACCAAAGGAUAUAGAGUUUAUGACCUUUAAGACAAACAAGUCUUUGCAUCUUGAGAUGUUGUAUUUAUUAGGACUGAGUAUGGAUCUCGGUGAUUCCCACUCGAACCUAAUAACCAUACCGAAAAGUACCAGAACCGAAAAAACCAAAAGUUUUUAUAACCGAAUUGAACCGAUCCGAAUUUUUUUACUAUUACGGUAUGGUACUAGUUCAUUAGUAAAAACCAUACCGUAACCGUACCAGAACCGAUCUGUCUUGUACUGAUCCGGACCAAACCGUAGAACCGAAUUUUUUACAUAUAUUUAUAAAUAAUACAUUUAUUAAAAAAAUAAUACAUAUACUCUAUAAAAAAUUAUUUUAUAUUUAUCAUUUAUAUAAUUCAAGUAAUUUUUAUCAAAAUACAAAAAAUAACACAUAUUAGAAAUAACUAUAAUAUUAUAAUAUACUUUAUACUCUAUAAAAAAUAUAAGUUAUAUAUAUUAAUAUGUCACAUAGUAUAUUGAUACUAGUAAUCUAGUAUACAUACUAUAAUACUAGAUUUAAAUUUUAUUUACUAUCUAGAAAUUUUUGACAAGUUAAUUAAAAAAUUACUUAAUUUAAUAAAAAGUUAUAUAAAUUAGUAAAAAUUAUAAAAAUAUAUUAUUAUAUAAAUAUAAUAUUAUUUACACUAUAUUUAUUAAUAAAUUAAUUUUUAAUUAUAUAAUAUUUUUAUUUUAAGAAUAAUAAUAUUAAUUAUACUAAAAGUAUUAAUUUAUAUAAAUAUUAAAAUUAAGAAAUAAAUAUUUUAAAAAUAAUUUUUAUAUUAUUAUACUAAUAAAACUUAAAAAUUAAAUAUUUAGAAAUAAUUAAUUUAUUAACUUUUAAAAUAUUAUAAAUUAAUAUUAAAAUAUAAAAAUAAAUAUUAAAUUAUAUUUAUAAAUUUAAUUUUUUUUAAAAAGAAUCAAACAAAACUUGAGAAAAAAUUGUCAAAAUAUCUUUUAACAAUAUAGAAGUUCUUUACUUCCUACAACAGCGGAGGUCCUCAUUUGUUGUCAAGAUUGGCUUAGAAGUUGAAAUAAACCUAUCCAACUAGAAGAAUCAAUUGAGGAUAUUGAAAGCAUAGAGUCAGGUAACAUUUCUUUACUUCUUACAUAGGUUUGUUUAUUGUUGAUGUUGUUAAGUCUUAUUGACGUAAUUUUUUAUUUUUAUUAUAGAAAUUAUUCAAGAUCCUGAGAUUGUUGAGUCCCUUAUGCCAAGAUUAAAUGUGGAGUGCUAAUUUUGAGGGGAGGUAAUAACAUUUCUUUCCUAAUUUUGGACAUAUAUUUUAGUGCUACCUAAAGUUUGUAAAUUUAUUUAUUUUAAUGAUUGCCAUCUGUAAAAUAUUUUUAUGCUAGCAGUAAUAUAUAUUUUAAUGGUUUGUAUUUGAAUAUUGAACGAAUUAUUGUAUUUGCAAGUGAUUGAAUUGCAAAACAGGUUGUUCAAGAAAGUGAUUGCAAUUUUAAUUCAGAUUUUCAUGCUACCUUUUUUAGGUUGGUAAUCAUAUUUUCUCUAAAUUUAUUUGAUUAAAGAUGAGAUUAAAGUUAUAUUUUUUAAAUUUUUUAGAACCGAAAAUAGCAUCGAACCGAACUGUAUUGAACCGUAAAAUUGGUACAAUACGGUAUUGGAUCCUUUUAUGUUUGGUACGGUACUGGUACCUUCAAUUUUAAAAUAACCGAGGUUUGGUAUAGUACUGGUGAUUUAUAAAUAACCGAAUUGGACCAAUCCGUGCUCAGCCCUAGUAUAUACACAGUCCAUAUUUCCAUUUGCCACCGCUUCUUCAUCUUUACCCACUGAACUUGAUCUUAACUUAUCUAACCCAAAUCUUGUUUUGCCUAGUAUUAUUUGACCUAUCUUUUCUUGAUGAAACUUAUUCUCCCUUGUGUGCAGGUGAUUCAUUAAUUGAUACUUCUCAAGAUGUGCAGCUUUCAUCCUUUUCUAAUGCAAGUAAUAUCUUUUCACCCCUACCUUCUCCUUCACCUCUCCUAUAUGCUGAUCUAAAAGAGUUAUCCCUCCUCAAUACCUUCAAGAUUAUCAUACCCCUUUUUCCAAGGUUAACCAAUACUAGUUUUCACACUAUAUCUUAUUCGAUAGCUAAUGUUUUAAGCUUGAUAACCUUAACUCAUGCUCAUUGUUAAUUAGAACUCAAAGCUUUCUCUAAUUCUGAUUGGGCAGCAUGCCCUGACUCUAGAAAAUCCAUCACUGGUUUUUGUAUUUUUCUCGACUCUUAUUUGAUAUCAUGAAAAUAAAAAUAAAAAAUUAAACAAUUCUCGUUCUUCCUCUAAGCAGAGUAUAAGACCAUCACUAAUGCCACCUAUAAGAUUCAAUAGCUUUACUAUCUUCUCCAAUAUUUUCAUGUCUUCACUCCCCCAAUUGUGCUUUGUUGUAAUAAUCCUUCUGUCUUUAAAAUUGUAAAGAAUCCAGUCUUCUACGAGUCAGACAAAACAUAUCAAAAUUGACUUUAACUUGAUAAGACAAGAAAUUCAAGAAUGGUUAUUCACUUGUUGCCCGUUAAUUCUACUCAUCAAUUAGCUGAUUGCUUCACAAAGUCCUUUCCUUCACCAAUUCUCAAAACAUCUAUGUUCAAGUUGGGUAUACAAAAUUUGAGAAAGUCUUCCUAGUCUUGUAUAUAGGAAAUUAUUUUUUUUGUAAAUAGUACUCUUUUGUACAACAGUAGUUAGUUAGAGAAAAAUGCAGAGUUAGUUAGAGAAAAAUGCAGAGCUUAUAUAUAUACUGAUAAGAUCAAUACAAUUCUCUAACCUUCUCUUUGCAAUCUUAUAUUUUUUGUUAGCAACAACUAAUUAAAAUGAGAAAAGAAUUUAAAAUUUUGUAAAAUGAAAAAGAAAUAAAAAUGAAAUAGAAAAAAAAAAAAGAAAAAAAAUGCUAUACAUAAAAAGAAAAGGAAAAUUUUUCAAUUUUCCAGCAUAUAGUGAAUUUUUUUCUCAAAAUUACUUCGAUUAACUACAAUUUAUAAAAUUAUUGACAGUCAUUCCUCAUUUUUUAAAUCAAAAUUUUUUGAGAAAAAGAUAACAUUGUUGAACAAGUAAUUAAAUUUUAUUUAAGGAAUAAAUUUAGGGCGUUGACUAUAUAGGAAUUAUUAUGGAGUUAAAAUUUUUAAUUCUUUUGUCUAAUGUAAAUUGUUCUUUUUCUUUAUUAUUUGCAUUAUAUUUUUUAGGCCCGAUAUCGAAUUAUAGAAAUAUCAGCAAUCAAAAUUGAGAUCUUAGUAGAACUAUAUAUUAGCAAUACUAAUACUAAGUUCAACUCCUUUUUAUUGUCGUUGAAGUUCACGCCAAUCAAUGAAUUUAAUUGAUAAUUUCAUCCGAAGAAUAAAAUUAAAAUUAAUAUUAAAAUUAAAAAAAUUUUAAAAUUAUAUACUAAAUUUUAUAAUAAGUACAGAUUACAUAUUUUUUUAGCAAUUAAGCCUAAUGAAAAUAUUUUUGUUUUGAUUUUCUAUAAUAAAUAUCUCGGUCCUAUAACUUUAUUUUUGGAUGCUUUAUUCAUAAUAAAAUUUUUCUAUAGUUGGAAAUAGUGUAUGAUAAUUAAAUAUCCGUUUCAUUAGCUUAGUAGCAGUAGUAAUGUUCAAAUCACGAAUAAAAAGAUCUACUUUUUGUAUCCAUUAUAUAUAUACAUAUAUACCAAACCGAAGAACGUAAUAACGAGUAGUAGUAUGUUUUCUAGUGCUUCAACCAGUUGACUGAUUCAUUGGUUGAAUUGGUCUUAUUUGACUCCAUUCACCAAUUAGAUGUAGUUUGAAAAAGUAGUAAAUUAAUAGGGUUUUAUAGCAAAUAAUAAAAAGUAGAAUAUCAAAAAGAUUAUAAUAUAAAAUGAGGUAGGACUCUAUAUACCUUUUGCAGUUUCAUGCCGAACAACUGAAAUGGGUUCUCUCUUCUCCAUCAGGUUUCUUAUUGUCCUUGCCCUAGUGCCUUCCAUCCUCAUAUUUGUGCAUGCAGCUGAGAGUCAAGCGGGUAAUUUAUUUCUUUAUUAGUUAACUUCUUUUUUCAUAUAUUACGCAUGCUUAGCAUAGAUGUCUCAAGACAAAAGAACUUUUAACGAAAAAUUAUUUUCUUUUCUUUUCCUUUCAUUUUUUCACACUGUGUUCAGUUGCAAAUAUUUCCUUAGGAUAAAUAAAGUUUUUUUUUAUUUAUUUACUUAAGAUGCUAAAGAAAGUUGAUCUGCCUGACCAGUAGAAAAUCCUACUGCUGCUACUCUAAUAGGGGAGUAAUAGUAUACCUGAGUUACUUUGGUCGAGCGCGUGGAAAUAGCAGAUCUUGUGCUAUUAUCGCGUGGAACUUCAAGCGUUUUGAAGUUAUAUAUUAAAGUUAUAUACAACACUUCGUAUAAAUUAUUUUAAGCUCGAUUUAAUAAAAAAUUUAUUUAAUGUGAUACGUUUUUUUAAACAAAUUAAGCACAUAUUAGAUAGAUUUUAACUUAUUAAUUUGUUGGUGAGCUAAUUAAUAUACUCGUGUUAUAAUAUUAAUAAUUUGAGUGUAAUUUAAAAACUUUAUUAUAAAUAUAUGUGAAAGGCAGAAAAAAUAAAGAAAAAGUCCUUAAACUAAUUAGGGAUAGGUAAUUAAGCUCCUAUUAUUUAAAUUGGCUCAAUUCCACCCUUUACUUUUUUAAAAUGGGCUCAAUUUUAAUCCAAUUUGUUAACUUGGUUAACUCUUCUGUUAGUAAUGGAGCCCAUUAAAAUUAAAGCCAGAAUAACAUACUGACACGUAGAAAUAAUUUUUCUAAUUUUAUAUUUAAAUAUAAAUAAUUAAAAAUCAAAAUAUUAUCUUAAAAUUCUAAAAAGAUUACACUCAAUAAUAAUUGAUAAUGCUACCAACUCACCGUCCUCCACCACCGCCUUGCCUCCAUCGCCACCCAUCGAUCAAAACCGUAAAAUGGCCUCCAUCAAACCAAUANNNNNNNNNNNNNNNNNNNNNNNNNNNCUUCUGACCAAUUUAGCUAACAACUUUGACAAAAGUGGUCAAGUCGCCCAGGCAAAGCUGAUAUAAAAAAGUUCAAUUUGAUUCUUAAACUUUAUACUAAGUAUCAGAUUUUGUAAAAAUAAUUUCCGAUUGAGUUAGAAUAAAAUUAUUUAAUUUUAACAUAAUUUACUUUUAUUAUCUGAUAAAAUAAUAUUUCUAAUUAAAAAAUUCAAAUUAAAUAAUAUUACCAAAGUAAUAUAAAAUUAUGCUUUUAUUUAAUUUAAUAUUGCUAAAGCUUAUUUGAAAAUAUUCUUUAAUUUCUUAAGUUAUUUAUAUGAUUUUUAUAAAUAUUAUUAAUUAUCACAUAAAAAUUAUUACUUAAAUAAAACAAUAUAGAAUAAUACUGUAAUAUAUUUUACCUCCAAGAAUUUAAUGCGAUGCAACUAUUAGUUAAAGUUAAUUUAGAAUUUUAAAAUAAAAAUGUUAUCUAAUUAUUUUUAUUAAAUAAUAAGAGUAAAUUGCAUUAAAAUCGAAUAGUUUUACUUUAACUCAAUAAAAAUUCAUUUUAUAUAAUUUGACAUUUAAUAUGAAGUUUAAGGAUCAAAUUGAACUUUUUGUAUUGAGUAAGUCCUUUGAUUGGAUUCAAUUGAUCACUUUGCCAAGUUUUUAGGUAAAUUAGCCUGAAAAUUAAAAUCUGAGCUAAUUGCCCAUUAGUUUCAAAUUCAAGGGACAAAUUUGCAAUUUUGCCAGGAAAAAGAAACCACAAGGCAUCUACUUAUAUGACAUUCAUCGCUCGUAGAGCUAUCAAAACCAAUAAAAGAAAAAAAGCACAAGCCUGUUCAUCGCAUGCCACCCUCAUCACUUGAUAUUCAUCGCUUAUCAUCCUCAUCAACUAACAUUCAUCACUUGCCAUCCUCAUCACCUGACGUUCAUCGCUUGUUGUUCUCAUCACCUUAUAUUCAUCGCUUGUUGUUCUCAUCACCUGACGCCCAUCACCUGCCAUCCUCAUUGCUUGUCGUCCACAUUACUCUUCUUCGUUGGCAAUAGUGGAUUUUUGUUGGUGGAGGUGGUGGUUACUGGUAGGUGGUCGUAAUUUUGUCAUUGGUGGCGAUGGAAAAGGUGAUAGUGGUGGUUGGGUGGGGGAGUUAGCGAUAGGGAUAGGAUUAAAUUUAUAAUUUAUUCAAAUUCAUUAUUUAGUUUUUUCUUUUACAUAAUUUUUAACGUAAAAGAAGAAAAACAUAUGUGCUAACAUGAAUGUGUUAUAUUUUAAGUGAUUCCACUACUACCAGAAAUUAUAUUCUAUUAACAAUUUGACUUAUUUGGACCUUGUAUGAAAAUUAAAAGGUGAAAUUGAAACAAUAUGAAGAAUAAGGGCCUAAUUGUCUAUCUCCAAUUAAUUCAAAAGGUUUUUCUUGCACCUUCUGCCAAUAUAGAAAAGGGGUAAUUAUUAUUUACAUCAUGUAUUUGUCUAUAUUAUACUAGUUACCUCUUGACAUUUAAAAAAUAUAUUUUUGUAUCCUUCUACUUUCCAAUUUUAUACUAAAACCCCAUUUCAUCAGAAUUUCCGUUAAACAACCGUUAAUUAGGUUUGGUUUUAUACUAUUUACCCUUUAAUCUUUGGUGUAAUAUACAAAUUGCCCCUUAUAAUUUAUUUAUUAUACUAAAACCUCGUCUAAUUUUUAUACAAAAAUCAAUUUUUAAAUUCACUACAAAAAUAAUUAAUUAGUGUUAUUUAAUUACUCUAAUUUUUAGCAUAAUCAAAUUUUAACAAAAUUUAAAUAUUUUAAAAGUACUUAUAUUAAUUAAAAUAUUAAAAAUUCAUAUAAUUUAACUUUAAAUUGUUAAAAUAAAUUAGAUAGUAUUAUUAUUAUUAUUAAUUUUAUUACAAUAAGAUUGUAACUUUGAUAAAAAGUUUGAGGAUUAAAUUAUAUUCUUUUAUUAAUUUAGAUCCUUAUUUAUAUUGAUUUUCAAAACGCAAAAAGAUUUUAGAAAAAUAAAUAACAUAUAAGGGGUAAUUUGUACAUUACACAUAAAAAUCAGGAAGCAAAUAAUAUAAAAUCAAACCUAAUUAACAAUUUCCUAACAUAAAUUCUAAUAAAAAAGAUUUUUAGUAUAAAAUUGCAAAAUAGAAAAAUAAAAAAAUAUAUUUUUUAAAUAUUAAUGGAUAACUAGUAUAAUUUGAAAACACACGGGAUAAAUAAUAAUUACCUCUAUAAAAAAUCAUAUUUAGACUUACUUGCUAGAAUAUAUUUAUAAGAAUUAAUAAAUAUAUGAUAAUCCUUAUAAUAGAUUAAAAUGUUUUGCUGAAUUGACUAAAAAUUUGAUUUUUAUUCUGUUUGUACUGAGCUCUUUAGGCUCGAUCAAAGACAAAAAGAUUUAAUAAAUUUAGCUCACCACUCAUUUCAAUAAUGAACAAAUCAAACUCAAACUAAUGAAAAUCCAACUCAGCUUGAUACAGUUAAACCCUAGUAUUCCUUUAAAAAUAUAAACUUACUGAAAUACAUAAUUCAAUUCAAUUUCGAUUAAACUCCUAAGACUAAUUGGUGUCUCAGUAGCAUUUUUGUCUAAAUAAUAUAGUUUUAUUGACUUUUUUUUUUUUUUUUUUUGCAAAAGUGAAGUCGAGGAGAGAACUUGGCAGCAAACCCUUGCCAAGCCCACCCCCUCCUCCAAUUCCUCACAAGUGGAAAAAUCAGAUUGCACUGCAGCCGCCGCCGCCUGCUCCAGCACGUAACAGAUUUCUAUAGUCUAUAGAUUAGCAUUUGCAAUAAGACUUAUGCUAUGUUUAGUUGAAAUCUAUAAAAAAGUUAAAUUUAUUUUAUUUGAGAAAAAGAUAGGAAAGAAAAUAAAAUAAAAAUAAUAAAGUUAAAAAAAAUAUUUUAGUAUUAUAAAAUUCAUUGUCUUACUAAUUUAGAAUUCAUUUGAAAAUUCUACAUUAUUUAAUUUAGUUAUACUCAAUUCCACAUAACUUUAAUUAUGUAGAAUGCUAAACUGAUUUUUAUUCCAUUUAAAGUAUAUAAAUUUUAGAUUAUCAAAUGAAUUCCGUAAAUUUUAUAGAUUUCGAUCUAUUGAAAAACACAUUACAGAUAUUACCAUUUUAAUAUGGAGGUAUGGUAACAUGAAAGAAAGGAAGUGCAUUUCCAGUCUAUGAAAGAAAGGAAGCAAGCGCAUACGAAGAGCUCUAUGGAGCUCGGGUGAGGGCGCAUGUUCGAGCCCCCAACUUUCUACUACCCAUGAUAAAAGAAAAGGAGAAAGAAAGGAAGUGCAUGUAUAUGAAUGAGUGUGUUUCAUAUGUAAAGAACGGCUGGCUACUAUAGAACAACGAAUAUACUCCAGAAAACCAACAAUGUCAAUGAAUAAGUCUUCAGGCAUGAAGCAUAAUUUUAACACUAAUACAAGGACCCGUAUAACAGAGAUCAGCUUAUAGGCAGUAGUUGUUUAAUUCUCCCCAAUAAUUUGACAAUUUGUCAAGGAUCCUUUCCUGAAAUUAACAACACUAUUUACAUUUCAAGGACUGGCGUAAUGGCAUCAUCAUAACAAAAUGAAUGAGGUAGGAAGUUUAUUAUCCGUACGAGAGUCUUCCUUUACAUACCGUAACUAAUGCCAAUCAAUAUAGCAUAAUCUGUUAUCCCAAGUUCUUGAAGAUCAGUUGAUGGCUUUCUCUUUUUUGGAAAUGAUCAGGUGAAGAUGAAUUUUUCCCUGAAAGAAAAUUUUCAGUAGUUAAGGUUUUACUUGAUGAGAUCCUAAACCAAAAUUGAAUAGCAGUUUUCCAACCAGUUUGGGACCUGGCUAAAUAGUUGUUGCUUUGAUUCAGUAUAUGAGCUGUAAAAAAUCAACUAGAAGCUGUAAAUGCAGUAAAAAGAAAAUCUACAGUCAGGCCUUCAUUUAUCCCUAUCUAUUUUGCUUCAACUAUCAUAACAUUGUUGAGGAUGCCUUUGUGGGCAAGGUCUACUCACGGAAAAAUACAAGAGGACUUUAAUUUUUAAUUCUACACGAUUUAUUUUGAUCAUUUUUUUUUUUCAGUAGUUUAGUUAUAGUUGCAUUCAGUUUAGGUUUCCUAGUUUCUUUCAGUUGACGUUUCCUAGUUUCAUUAUAAUUCUGUUAUAGACAUUAUACCUAAUUAGGAGUCCAAAUUAGGGAUGUUUAUUUCUUAAGCCUAUUUAAAGAGAGGCUGUCAUUAAUAAAGGCAAGCAGAAUUUUAUCAAAAUUGCAGACGUGCCUUAGACUCUGUCAAGGACAGGUCUCUUGGCUGCCAGCAUAGGUUCUUCAAGAAAAAGGUGGGAACACGGCCAAGGGAAAGAGAGAAUUCUUGUCCGUGUCUCAACCCGUGACUAGAUCUUAUGCUAGGGCCCAUAACAACUUGGUAUCAGAGCCUACUGUCAUGGGUGACUUGGAGAGUUUAGCAAGCAAGCUUGAUGCCUUUAUGCAGACCAUGGCAGGAAGACAACAAGCACUAGAAGAGCAGAUGGAAAUACUCACUCACCAUAUCUGCAAAUCAGGGAAGGAGUUAGGAGGCAAUGGCACUGGUGGUGCAAGCAGUGGCAACCAAGGGAGCCGUGGCUGUUCAGAGGAGAGGAUAGACGGGUGGUCAGCUAGUGCCUUGGUACUCCAAACUAGAAUUUCGGUCCUUUGUAGAACAGAGGACCCACUUGGAUGGCUGAGAAGGUCGAGCAGUUGUUUAGAAAUCAGAAAAUUCAGAAGAGAAAGUUGGAUUGGCAGCUUUUCACUUCGUGGGAGAAGCACAGUUGUGGUUCUAUCAAUUGGAGCAAGAAGAGCUAGAGUUGACUUGGUAAGGAUUUCAGGAGCAUUGCAAUGUGAGGUCUGGGCCACCAAUGAACAACGGUCCUUUAGGAGAGUUGGCGAACUUGAAACAGACAGGACAAUAGAGGAUUAUCAGCGGCAAUUCCAAUCCCGUUAGCAGAAACUAUAGACCUAAAGCCCUGCCAACAGGUGAAUUUAUUCACCUCCAGACUUAUAGAGAGCCUUCAGAUUGACGUGGAGCUGCAACAACCCGGAAGCUUGAGAAUCGCAAUGAACAUGGCACGAGCUUUGGAAAGGAAACAACAAUAUACACCAUCAGGAAGUAACGGCUGGAUGGACAGGCUCUAAAUCCAGCGCUACCAGUGCUGUCUCUGCUAAAAAUUGAAGCCACAAAAGGGUAAAGGGAGGGGACAAACUGGCAGGUUCAGCAGCCAGCAGUUCAGGCAGCACUCCAUCUCGAAUUUUCAAUAAACUUUUAAGAGCAGAAAUGCUUGAAAGAAGGGCUAAAGGGUUAUGUUUAACUGCAAUGAAUCAUACACAACCAACCAUAAGUGUAAGAGACUUUUCUGGAUUGAAAUACCCGACUCGAACGAGCAGGAUAAUGAGGAAAUUAUGAGAGACCCAGAAAUUAUUUUACAUGCAAUAAGUGGAAUCCGAAGCUCUCAAACAAUGCAGUUGCAAGCUACUGUGGCAGGAUGGCUGAUGUGGGUUUUAGUGGAUUCAGGCAGCACCCAUAAUUUUAUCAGGGACUGGGUGAUCCUGAAGAUUGGUGUAGUAGUAUGUAAAAGGCCAGGGCUACAGGUGGCCGUGGCUAAUGGGGAAAGGGUCCCUAGUUUGGGUAUUUGGAAGGUGGUAACUCUACAAGUUAAUUUUGAUUCUUUUAUUACUAAUCUUUACUCUAUUCUUUUAGAGGGUUUUGAUGUGGUCUUAGGGUUAAAUGGCUAAGUACAUUGGGACCUACACUUUGGGACUUCUCAAACCUCAAUGAGCUUCGAGCUGGAUAGGAAGCAAGUGCAAUGGAAAGGGCAGAAUCAUAGUGCAGCACCAAGGGUGGCAUUAAUGGAGGGACAUUAUGCAUCUUCAGUAGCUAUGGACAAUCUACUGGCUGAAUUUGCAGACUUGUUUGAAUAACCUUCAGGAUUGCCUCCAAGUCAAAAUUGUGAUCAUUGGAUACCUUUACUACCAGGUUCCAGACUAGUGGUAGUGCGACCUUACCGUUAUCCUCAUCUUUAGAAGGAGGAGAUAGAGAAGCAAUGUGAAACAAGGUUGUAGCAAGGAAUGGUAAGGCCAAGUAGGUUCCCUUUCUCGUUGCCGGUGUUGGUGAAGAAACAUGAUGGGAUUUGGAGAUUUUGUGGACUAUUGAGAGCUCAACAGCCGGACCGUUAAGGACAAGUUUCCAAUUCUAGUAGUGGACGAUUUAUCGGAUGAGCUUCACGGAGCGUGAUAUUUCACAAAACUUAAUCUUCGCUCUGGUUACCAUCAAGUACGAAUAGACUGCCGAGAUAUAGAAAGGACCGCUUCUAGAACACAUCAGGGGCAUUUUGAAUUCCUGGUGGUGCCCCUUUGGGUUGACCAAUGCUCCUUCUACUUUUCAAUCUUUGAUGAAUGAAGUGUUCCAGACCCAUUUGCUAAGUUUGUCUUAGUUUAUUUUAUGACAUUUUAAUAUAUAGUAAAACUUGGGUUGAGCAUAUCCAGCAUAUAUGCUUGGUUUUUUAAUUACUUCGAGCUCACCACCUUUUUCUUAAGCAGUCCAAGUGCACAUUUGGGGUGACGCAAAUGACGUACUUGGGUCAUGUUAUUCAUUGUGUAGGAGUAGAGGCAGAUGUAAGCAAAAUUAAGGCGAUUGUAGAUUAGCCUGUACCACAUUCAACCAAGGCUCGGAUUAGCGGGAUACUGCAAAAAGUUUAUCAGGAAUUAUGGGCAUAUAGCAGCACCAUUGACCAGCUUGUUGAAGAAAAAUGCAUAACGGGCUGAUGAAGUCAAUUCAACAUUCUUGAACUUGAAGAAGGCUCUCUCUGAAGCUCCUGUUCUGAAGUUGCCAAAUUUUGAGGAAGAAUUUGUAGUGGAGUGAUGCUUCGGGUAGCAGCAUUGGGGCAGUCCUGCAACAUGGGCACCCAAUAACAUUUUUUAGCAGGAAAUUGGCGGAUCACCAUUAUAAACUUGCAGCAUAUGAAAGAGAGCUCGUUGGACUUACUAAAGCUGUGGCUCGUUGGCGGCCUUACUUGUAGGGGAGGCACUUCCUUAUCUGAACCAAUCAUUACAGCCUUAAAUUCUUACUAGAACAAUGGGUGACUACUUCAACCUCAGCAGCAUUGGAUUAGUAAAUUGAUGGGUUCUGAUUUCAAGGUGGAGUACAAGGCAAGGAGACUCAACCGGGCUACCGAUGCACUUUCCCGGCGGGAGGAGGACAACCAGCUCUUUGCAAUCUCUCAGCCUCAAGCUGGCAUUUUUGAUGCCGUACGGUAGAAGGGGACAACCUCGGACAGCUUGCAGCAGCUACGGGAAUGUAUAGACAGUGGAAAAGCCAAUAUUGAUUAGGAAGGAAUGGCUUGAUUUUUUUAAGGGGAAAGUCUAUUUGCUACCCACUUCUCCCGUGGUGCAGACCAUUCUUUCUAGCAUUCAUAACAUGGCCCACGAGAGGGUCCAAAAGACCUUGCAACGGGUGUGUGGGCAUUUCUUUUGGAAAGGCAUGAAUCAACAUUAGAAGCAUUUGUGCGGAGUUGCUUGAUAUGUCAACGCAAUUAACGGGAAAAUUUACGUCUUGCUGCGCUCCUUCAGCCUCUUCUGGUACCUCAACAAGUAUGGGCUAACAUCUCGAUGCAUUUCACUGAAGGAUCACCUAAAGUUCAACGAAAGUCAGUUUGGAUGGCGACUAUUGAUAGGUUCUCCAAAUAUGCCCACUUCAUUCCAUUUACUCAUCUUUUCCCGGCGAUUUUUGUGGCCCAUGUUAUUUUUACAUAAGUAUUUCGUCUACAUGGAUUACCUGAGACAAUUGUUUCUAAUAGGGACAAAGUCUUUACUAGUCUCUUUUGCAAAGAAUUGUUUCAUUUGUCUGAUGCAAAGUUGGUGUUUUCUUCAGCUUAUCAUCCUUAAUCGGUUGGGCAGACCGACGUAGUCAAUCACAUAAUCGAGAUGUAUCUUUGUUGCUUUACUGAUGAUCAGCCGCGAUGUUGGAUUGCAUGGAUUCCAUAAGCAAAAUACUGUAAUAAUACUUCAUUCCACUUUUCCCUGCGAGCUACUCCAUUUCAAGUGGUAUAUGGAAGGGAACCCCCGCCUUUGCUGAAUUAUCUUGCUGGAACAAAAAGAGUGGAAGCUGUUGACCAUGCUCUUCAGGAAAGGAAGGAAAGGGAUUCGUUUUUGCAAUCGGCAAGAGAGCAACUGUUGCAAGCUCAACAACAAAUGAAGCUUACUCAUGAUGCUCAUCAUAGAGAAGUUUCCUUUUGCCGAAAGGGAUUGGGUUUGGUUGAAGCUUCAUCCUUACAGACAACUUUCCUUAUGGCCUAAGGAAUAUCACAAGUUGUCUCCCAGGUAUUUCGGUCCUCUCAUGGUAUUGCAGUAGGUGGGCAAUGUGGCAUACAUGUUGGAGUUACCGGAGGGCAGCCGUGUUCACAAUGUCUGUCAUGUCUCACUUCUGAAGAAGUUCCAGGGAGAGAACCCAACUAUGGUUACUCCACUUCCACCUUUUCAUGAUGGCUGUUUGCUACCUAUUCCUCAAUCUUUUAUACGGUCCAGGCUUAACUGAGGCAGACAAGAGGUGUUAGUACAUUGGGAAGACUGUUCGGAAGAAAAUGCAACUUGGAAUCACCUUGCAACACUUUGAGAGGUUUAUCCGGAGCUUGAGGACAAGCUCAAAGUCGAGGAGGGGAGAAAUGUUGAGGAUGCCUUUGCAGGCAAGGUCUGCUCAUGGAAGAAUACAAGAGAACUUUAAUUUUUAAUACUGUUACGAUUUAUUUUAAUAAUUUUUUUUCAGUAGUUUAAUUUCCUAGUUUCGUUCAGUUUAGGUCUUGUAGUUUCAUUCAGUUUAGGUUUCCUAGUUUCAUUAUAAUUCUGUUAUAUACAUUAUACCUGAUUCAGAGUCCUAAUUAGGGAUGUUUAUUUCUUAAACCUAUUUAAAGAGAGGCUGUCAUUAAUAAAGUGCAAGCAGAAUGUUAUCAAAAUUGCAGACGUACCUUAGACUCUGUCAAGGACAGGUCUCUUGGCUGCCAGCAUAGGUUUUUCAAAGAAAGGUGGGAACACGGCCAAAGGAAAGAGAGAAUUCCUCCCCGUGACUAGAUCCUACAGUAGGGGCCGUAACAAACACAUUAAACAUCAAUUUUAAAAAUGAGAAAACUAUCCAAAUGAGGUUGCAACUGACAGAAUGUCCUUGUAAGAAAGGAAACAGAAAAAUAAACAAGGUAAAAGAAAAUAACUGCAAUAUUACAUUCUCUUCACUAGUGCACAAGAAGGCCAACAUACUUCCAUUCAAAUAUUGGUGGAAUUAUUGGGUAGCUUGGGAAUAGGAAAGGAGAAGGGUCUUCCUUCCAUUUUAUAAUUCACUACCACAGUACUCCAGUGGGGACUAAAAGAUUUCCUUUAAGAAGAAAUUUAGUGGAGUUUCUAACAGCUGCAGUGAAGACUAGCAAUCCAGUUUUCCAUUCACAUGUACUCAGUGAUAGAGACUACAUGCAAAAAAGUAUCUAAAUGUCUAGCACUCAACUCAAAACAAGAUGGAGGUAACUUGGCAAACUAAACACUAAGGUAAUGCAUACAUAUACAAACUUCCCUUCUUUUGCUAAUAUCUAAAUGAAUACAGAAAUAGAAUUUACCUAAAUGGGCCUAAGUACACACAUGAGUACUACCGUGAGUAAAAGAUGGCACCACUAAGACCAAUAUAUUGUGUGAAAAUCCGGAAUGACAGACAUGAAAAUUUAACUCUUUAUGUAGGAUUUAGUUUUGAACAUUGAACUAACAUUGCACUCUCACGUGCUUAUGAUUAUCAUAGCUCAAAUGAUAUAACCAUUUUCAUUUAAUUGGUUCUGCUGAUUUUUUUUCUAAUUACCUCGAACAUAGUCUUGAUACGAUGACAAUCACCUUGCUCAUGGCUGAGUAAUCGGCAUUAGCAUACUUUUCACUCGGAUCUGCAAGACCACCAACAGAACUUAUUCACUUCUGGUCAUGCGGUUUGUUCAUGCGGUAAGUAUUUCCAUUUAUUAAUCGUCAUUAACAGGUAAAAUUGGAAAGCACCUCAUGCUGCCCAGCCCAUAUGGAUUGCAUAGUGUUUAGAGAUCAGCAACAUGUAAGUUCACAGACUGGCCAAGAAAUGCAUUCCCGCUUUUGUGAUUAGAAGUCAAGAUCCCAUAUUUCCAAUAGUACUAAACUGCCUGAGGGAAACAGGCCUGCAAAAGAUCAGAUGCCGCAUAUUUUAUAUAACACAAAAAAAACAUUUUGGCUGUCAAGCGGUGAGUUCUAUCUCACUGACAAAUCAAUAAAUAAAAUGAUUAAGUACACAAAUUGAUGCAAUAUCAUUGGAUCAACGACUUCAUAUCAAAAUUGAAAAUAACCAAUUAACCUCAAUAUCUCAUUUUACUGUUGACUUCAUACUUUGUCCAUGCAGCAAUUAAUUAUACAGCCUUAAAGUCUGAACAUUUCAUCGAACACCUAAUAAUACCCGUGAACAUAAUAUCACUAACUUCAAUAAAAGCGAAACCAUUCCCGAGAAGGAUUAAAAAUUCUAAGAAUGCUCAAUCAUACAUUUGGUUAGCAUGUACAUUUCCCACAAUCUUGUCAGAUGUAGCAUAGCACCUCUAGAACAAAUUUUCUUUUCUAGGAAAAUAUUCCACAUCAUAUUUGCAUUACCUAAAGUCCUAUUAUUAUUUUUUUGCAUUUAUCACUAUCAUUUUCUUUACUAUCUCUUUAAAAUAUGGAAGAAAAUAAUAAAAGCUAAAAACUAGUUAUGGAACUUUAAAUUUAGGGUUCCAAGAAAUUAUAAAAUCAAAGAAAGCUUUCAAUUCCAUUUUCAAAUGUCUACUUUUAUUUUAGUUCCAUUUUCUGUCUCUAAAUACCUUUCAUGAGUUGCUAUCAAUAGGAUAAUUGGACAGUUUUAAUCUAAAAUUCACAUGAAAAUUCAGAAAAGCACCAAUAUGGUAAGCACAUAAUUUCCAUCCUAUGAACAUGAUUUUCAUUUUCAUCCACACAAUACCACCCCGAAGGUAUCUCCAAGCACGAGUGAUCACAAACCAGAAAAGAGAACUCGAAAUGAUCAAUCACAUUUACCCAGAUGUGACAAAACUCGCAUGAUCACCAUAUAACAUUUACAGGAGAAAAAAUUGUCAUAAGAUCUGAUAGAUCGAAUAGCAACCCCAGAGAUAAAGUGCAUGAUAUUAACUGUCCCAUACCUAAAGUAAAUAGUAAUUUGCUAACGUUGUUAUGUUAUUGUUUACAAGUCCUUUAAGGAACUGAAUGAUAAUGGAUAUUUGAGAUUGACAGGGUAAGGCUUGAUGAACAUCAGUAGUAAUAUUAUGAACCAGAUACUUAAAACUGUUUUGCGCAUUUUAAGUUCAUGAAUCACAGAAAAUACAUGGUUAAAUACUAUUACAAGAAGGAUCCACUGUCAAGCCAAAAUAAAACUAGACAAUACGUAGACUCCAAAAGUGGCUGCAGCUAUAGCAAUAGUGACAUAAAAGUAGCAGUCUCCUUCACUUCUAUAAGCAUGAGACAUUUAAUCAGAGAUUUUCAGGUUCUCUAUCAAGUAACAUGCCAUAGCAACCAAAUCAUGGCGCAAUAAUCACCCUAAGUAUCCAACUAUUUUUUUUGUUAUAAAUCAAUAGAAUUUUGUGGUUUAAUAAAUAAAAAAGGCAGCCUUAUUGCGGUUGAUUAUGCUAGCGAUCGCUACCAAACCCAGAAGUAAUUAACUGAAAGAAGGGAACCAUUCCACAGAAGGUCUUGAAGAUUAUAAAUCAGUUUGAGAAAACAGAAAAAAAGAAUGAAUGAGAAGCAUCACAGAUACACACACACAAUAAAGAAGAAUAGGAAUAUGCUCACAACUCCAAUAUUUGCAGAAUAAAGUGUUCAUUACCUGCAAAAGGAAUGUUCUCCUCAAGACAAUCCUCCUUCACGCCUGCAAUAGUAUUAUAAUAUGCUCAACUGUCUUGUUCAAACACUUCGAGCAUAUGAAAGCUCCUGUAUUUAAACAGUCAGCAGCAUGCUCUGUUCCAUUUCAGUAAACUGAACGAUGAAUAGACCCAAAUAUUAGGUUGAUCUGCCUAUUAUGGCUUAAAGAACGCUCACCCAUGGAAGUGCACCUUCCUAACCUUCAAAAUACAAUGUAGCACUGACAUGGUAUGUGCAUCUGGCCGUAUCCCCUUAUUUAACAUCUCAUCAAAAAGGACUACAGCCUUUUUUAUAUUUCCCACAUUACAAUAUCCAGAUAAAAGAGCUGUAUACGUCACAGUAUCAGGUGCUAGUCCUCUAUCAAUCAUUUCAUUGAAAAGGUUUAUAGCAUCCUGAAUGUUAUUUGUUUUACAGUGCUUGUCAAUAAGAACAGUGUAACAAAUAACAUCAGGUUUUAUAUCCAUAUCCUUCAUUUCACUCCACAAGGCUGAGGGGUCCAUCAUAUUUUCCUUGCUUUUCAUUGCAUCUAGACUUGAACUGGAGCUUCUGAGAUCUAUUUUUGAACAAUUAUUGAGCAAAACUGUGUAAGUGAUAACAUCAGGUUCAAUCCCUCUGUUCUUCAUAUCACCCAAAACAUGCCAGGCCUCCUUCAUUUUAUUCAUCCUGCAAUAACCAUUUAUCAUUAUUGUGUAUGUAAUGACAUCAGGAGCUAGCCCCCUAUCAACCAACAUAUUGAAAACAUACUGAGCCUUCUCCAUUUCUCCCGCCUGGAAAAGUGCACCAAUAACUUUACUGUACAUGAUCAUGGUAGGAUUGAUAUUCAGAGCCACCAUUGUUUCAAGCAAACACAAAGCUUUCUCACUAUCACCUUCCGAACAGAGAUUUCCAAGCAAUUUAAAGAAAGAAGCUUUUUUUAAAAUACGCCCCUGCUUAGAUAGCCUAAUAAGUAGAGCAAAGGCCUUGUUCACAUGAUUAGCUUCACAAUAACCAUUGACCAUGGCACUAUAGUUUUCCAAGCACUUCUCUUCUAAAUUAUCAAAAAAGGCUUGAGCAUCGUCCACCUUACCUCCUAUACAUAAUCCUUCAAUAAUCAUGUUAUGUGUCACGGUAUCAGGUUUUACACCCUGUGUUUCCAUGUAAUUUAAGAGGCUAAGGGCCUCUUGAGUGAGGCCAUUUCUAGAAAACCCACCAGCAAGUACAUUAUAAGUAACAAUAUCAGGUUUAUGUCCUAUGUCCUUCAUUUCUCUAUAUAUGUUCAACGCAUCAACAACUUUACCUUUAAGGAAGUAUCCACUGAUCACAGUGGUGUAGUUGAUGAUAUCUGGAACCAUCUUCUUACCUUUCAUCUCAACAAGCAGUUCCACAGCUUCUUCCACUUUCCCCAACUUGCACAAGGCAUCCAUUACCACAUUGUAGCAAGCCUCAUCAAAAAAUAUACCCAUCUUUUUGAAUUCUUUAAAUUGAUUGGCUACUUCAGAAGCCAUACCCAUCUGAGACAAGCCUUGAAGAAUUGAACUCAAAAUCACACAAUUUGUUUUGACACCUUUUGACACCAUUUCAUCAUGAAGAGCCAAAGCUUUAAGUAAAUUCCCAACCAUGCAAUAUCCAGAUAUCAGAGCACAAUACACAUACACAUCAGGGGCAAAGCCUUGUUUUUCCAUUUCACGCAAGAUGCUCUCAGCCUCUUUCAGCUUCAUCUCACUACAGAAGCCACGAAUUACAACUGUAUAAGCAAACACAUCCAUUGGAAUCUUUGCAUUUAUCACAUCUUGAAGCACUUUGAAACCCAAAUCUGAUCUCCCAUGCAAACAUAGACCUUCUAUGAAAGUUGUGUAAGAAAAAGAAUUUGGCGUCACCCCACUUUCUUCCAUAUCCCGGAACACAUCAAUAGCUUCAGCCAAAUUACCUUUUCUACAAAAACCCUUAAUUGCAAUGGUAUAAGUGUAGUCAUUAGGGUUCAGACCAAAGGCCUUCAACUGCCGAUAGAUGGCAAUAGCCAUAUCCACUUUCCUACUCUCAACUAACCGGUUCAUGAGAAAAUUACAUGACAAAAUCUGUGGAGCAAAUCCACAAUGCUUAGUUUGCAAAAGAACAUCAAAAGCCUGAUCAAACAUUCCAGAGGCAACACAAACCUUAAUCAAAGCAUCUGAGACCUGAACAAGCACACUGAAUGACUCAUUUGCAAUGCCAUCUCCCAGAGCUUCAAACAAAUUCACAAUUCCAAAAUCCAAGUUCCCAUCUUUCUUAAUAAUUUCCAUCAGUAUAGAAUCCAACUUCCUAGACCAACCCCAAAAACACAAAAUUCUAACAAUCGCAGCAUAUGUAUAAGGAUCAUGAGAAUACCCACUUUCCUUCAAUUGGUUAAAGUAGGAGAAAGCAAGACUCGGCUCAUUCCUCAGAUUGUUCAAAGUAAUAACAACUUUAGCAGUAUUUAUCUCAAAUAAAUGGUUAGUUACGGGAUUUUGGUAAUGGGUAUUAAUGGUUUGCUCUUCUUCAAUUGGGUAAUUGAAAUGAGCAAGAGCUGAGACGGUAUAUAAUCUUAUGAAGUUAACAUGUUUGAUAUAUUUUCUACAAGAAAACAACUUAAUAGAUGACACCCACAUGGAACAUGUUUGAUAUACGUUAAACAAGAAAACAACUAAAAUGAUGAUACCACAUGGGAAACUCUCAAGAGAUUUCGGAAAGGAUAUGGAAAUUAAAGGUUAAGGAAGAAGGCAUUUUUGAAGCAAGAAUGAGUAAAAGAACAGGAAAAAAGAAAAGCAGAGAGAGCAUAAUGGAGGAUAUUGAGAUGACGAAAGUAAAGUGAAGGAUUACCUUGUUAAGUGAUGGGAAUGAGAGGGGAACACGUGAGUGAGCAGCAACUAUUUGGCAACAGUUGGAAGUACACAAUUAUGAAAAGCUAAAACCCUGCGAAGUGUAGACAGUUGCAGCAACAAAAACCUGUAGUAUAUAUGAUAAAAUUAACAAUUACGUUCUCUCGGAAUGGAAAAUUAUCUAUUUUGCCCCCCUGUAUUUUAUGUUUAACAUUGGCCCUGUGCGUUUAUUUAUCAACAUUAUAUAUCUUUAAACUUUUAUGGAAUAAUUAAAUUUUUGGUAUCUAAACUUGUAAAAAAAUGACAAUCGAAUAAUUGAGUUUUUAAAAUUAACAAUUAAUAUAGCAAUCUGGAAAAAAAUAAUAAAAUAGUGUUUUUAGCAUGUAACACAUUAUAAAUAUCGAUGUGAAUUUUUUCUAUUAAAUGAGUUAACAAAUAAGAAAUAUGUGAUAAGAAUAUGUUGUAAAAAUAAUAAAAUGAUAAACUUGUCUAUGAUAUAUAAACGUAUUUUUACCAAGUUAUUAGAAUUUUAUAAUGCAAUAAAUAUUAUAAUUCCUAAAAUGGAAAUUAAAAAUUAGGAUUGUUAAAUUGAGGAUUAAUGAGGUUAGAGAAAGAGAGUUAUAUAAGAUAAAAUUUACCCUAAGACUAUAUCACUAAUAAAUCUAUUUUAAUUUUGACGUGUUUAAUAAUUUUUGCUCUCUCAUCUAUAUUUAUAAAGAUUUAAGGAAAACUUAAAAAUCACCUACUAAAAACACCAUUUUGUUAUUUUUUACAGAUUGCUAUACUCAAUUAUUAAUUUUAAGAAUUUAAUCACUCAAUUGUCAAUUCUUGAUAAAUUCAGACACUAAAAAGGUAAUUAUUCCUACUUUUAUUUUAGUUUAUAUUAAAGCCUUUUUUUUCUUUCCUUUUCUUACGGAAUGCUAUUUUUCUAAUGGCAAAAACAUAUAUAGAUCUCUAAAUUUUGUUUGUCUUUAUGAUUAACUUCUUAACUCUAUUUUGAUGCAAUUGAAUCUUUUAUCUAAACUUUGUUAAAUCCUUUUAGAAUGUCUGUUAGGUUUACGCACAUUAAGUUCUGUCUAAGAGACAUUAAUCUUCAUCAAGUUUGUUCACUAAUACCUUGGAAUUUUAUUGUUUUAAUUAAUUGAUUGAGCUGGAGCCUUUAGACUUUCUGAAUUCAUUGAUUAAAUGCUUAAUAAGAAAAGUAUGAUAAUAAAAGCAACCACAAAAAAACUUAUUAUUUAAUGAAUAAUAUCGAGGAAAUAUUUUCAAAAUAUGAACUUUAACCUUAAAAAUAAUAAUAAUAAAUAAAUAAAAUUGAGUAUAGAAUCAAAUAUGAAUAGAAAAUAUUUUUAAUUUUGAAAGUUAUUUAAAAUUAAAUAAUUAUAAGAUUAAAAAAUCAUGAUCAAAGUUGAGAAUAGGAAAAGAAUUUCUAAUCAUAUUGAAAAAUUUACAUGAAUCCAUUUAAAGUAAGAAAACUAAAGUAACACUUCACUAAAAAAAACUAAAAAAAUAUAAAAGAUCAUAUUAGGUUGAAUUAUACCAAAAUGAAAUUUAAGAGCCCAGUUAUAAGAAUACAGAAAAUUUAGAGGCUCAAUUAUGUUUUUUUUUUUUCUUAUUCUACAUUGGGUUAAUUGUCAUUUGCCCCUUAAGAUUUUAUUUUUUAUAAUCAAUAGGAUUUCAAUUUUUAAUAUUAUAUAAAGACAUCCCUCCCGUUUGGUUCUAUUAUAUUAAUACCCAUUUUUGUUAGGAUUUUUACACUUUAAUAGCUAGCCAAAUCAUAUAAUGAAAGUCAAGGAGUAUAUUCUCAUAUUUCAUUCAUAAGAUACAUUUAUCCUUAAGUUUUGAAGAUUAUAAUGUUGGGUCCUUAAUCCAACAUUGGGUUUAUAUGUCAAUAAUUAUGUAUUGUAGGAUAUCGAAUACAAUUAUUAUAACAUAUAUGAUUUCUGGUUCAUGAUUCUAUAUAGAACGAAGAACAUAAAACACAUAUGGUGAGGGCAUUGUAAAAUACGCAAUUUAUUAAUUACAGAAAAACAUUAGACAUUUGAAACAGAAAGUGGAAAAGAGAGAAUCCCAUAUUUCCACCUACAAAAACUACCACAUCCCACGUGUCCUAUAUCUGUGACUUUUUAAUAACAAAAAAUGUAGAGUUUUAUUUGUAAAAUUUUUUAAAAAUUAAAUAAACAUACCUUUGUAAUAGAAAGCGAUCUCCUUAAAUAUUUAUUCCUAUUUCAUCAGUGCAUAAGUCAUUUUCCCUCUCCACUAACAGUAGUUGACUCAAAUUCCUCGCUCAGAUAACAAUACAAAAUCCUAUGUUAGAUCAAGAGUUCGCCAAGAUUCAAUACUUAGAGAAGUCUAUCAUCGUUAAUCAAUAACAGUUGAGAGGUAAGUUUCAUAUUCUUAAGGUUUUAUAUUGCAAUGGAAUUUUCAUCUCCUAAAUCACUAAUGUUCAUUCAUUUAUGAAUGUAAUCAUUAUCAUUAUAUUGUUUAGAUUUUCAUUAUAUGAAUUAGAAAUCUAAUGAUUAUGAUCAUUAAACAUUUUUAUGUUCAUUCAUAUAUUGGAAAAAGAAAAUGAGGUUAAAAAGAAAUUUCAUCUGCUGAAAUGAGGUUAGGGUUUAUAAAGAUGAAACCUAGAAUUAGAGUUAUAAGGAUGAAUUUGAUAAUUGAUUAUUGGAAGAAAUUGUAUCUGUAUAUAAAUUUGUAUUAUAUUUAAUGAAUAUUUUAUGCUUUUGUAAUGAACAUUAUUGUUAUUGGUUAUGAACAUUUUAUAAUUGUACAAUGAACAUUCAUCAUACUGGAAAAUGUAUAAUGAAUAUUUGUGUUUUAGAUAAUGAACAUUAUACUAUAGCAUAAUGAUUAUUAUACAUUCAAUGAACACUUUCCUAUUUGAUUUUUAUUCUAAAUGAUUAUUUGUAUUCUAGAUACUAAAUAUUACAGUUUAGAAUAAUGAUUUUAUUCUAAUGCAAAUUAUGAGAGAAAAGUUACAAAUAGUGCAUAUAUCCUAAACCAAAAAAAAGAAGAAAAACUAGAGAAGAAGAGCUUACAACACGUGCAAAAAAGUAAAAGAAAAUUGCUACAACUGAAACUAGUGCUACGUAGAAUGAACCACUUUCAAAAUACAUGAAUAAGCGUAAUCCUACAACUCAAUAAAGAGAAGAAUAACAUGAAUAGUAAGAGAGUAACUCUUCAAAUGCAAAUAGAAGCAAGGAUGAUGCUGCUGUUGGUGAAAAGCAAAAAAGAAGAAAAAGUAUAUCAAACUAGAUUUUAUUACAAGAAUGUCACCAUCAGGUUUAAUAAAAUUGAUUUAGAGACUGUCCACAAAAUAAAAAGAGGUUGUUCAACAUAUUAGAUUUGAAAGUUUGCUGGAUAUGAAACUAUCAAAAUAUAAUGGAAAAUUUACUAAAUUUCUUGUGAAAAAUUUCAACCAUUGUAGAUAUGCAAUAAAAAUAUAGAGAGGCGAGCUUGCAUUGAACAAAGAAGAUAUUAUGUCUACAAUGAGUCUUUCUCGUAGAAAUAUAACAGUUUUUAAAGCAAGCAAGGGGGUUACAAUCAGUUACUAGAAAAAUUGAAGAUUAAGAUGGAAUGUAACAAUUGGAGGUCCUGUCACAAGUAAGAUGCCAGAAAAAAUGAUAAACAGAGGAGAGAUGAAUUUAAACGAGACUUUGUUAUUUUUAUUGUCUCUUCUAUGAUAAAGGAGUUCUAAAAUAAGCAAUGCAAUGUCAAAAUCUUGUACUUUCUCAUUAAAGUAUGAAAAAUAAAAGAGUUGAAAUAUUGUCGUUACACAAUCAAUAGCCUGGUUUAUUAUAUACUCCACAUCUUUCUUUUGUGGAUCUGUCACUUUCUUACUGGUAAGAAUUAUUUAUUUUAACAUUAUUCAUUCUCAAAAGUUAAAAUGUCCAAUACCAUAAACUAUAAUGUUCAUUACCUCAUGUUUUACUAUGUGUAUUGAUGAUAUUUAUAUUUAUAAUUUAUAAAUAUUCAAUAACACAUCCAUCAAUUCAUUAACAUGUUUCGAAAUGUGCAUACACACGAUCUUCCAUAUUUAUUUAUCUAUAAAAAAAGAAUGUUUAUUUUCAUAUCUCCUUAAUGUUCAUUACACAUAUGUUAAUUGUUCAUUACUUUUAUAAUGUAUUUCUCUAUAUUAUCUUUUCAAUAAACAACUAUCUUACCUAGAUAAAGUACAAUUCAAAGGAAGAGAUGUUGAUAGAGAAUUUCUAGUACUGUUAAAUUGGAAUAAAAAAGUUAUUUCAAAAAGAGUAAAAAAUGAAAUGGAAGAAGGCUUUUUUAGAAAAGGAAAUGUUAUAAUAGCCUUAAAAAAUCUUUAGAAACAGAAAAGAAAGAAGAUAAUGUUACUGCUGAUGAUAAUAUUACUGCAGAAUCAAUAGAAACUCCAUAUGAUGUCAGAAAGGUAAAUGUUUAUUACUUAGAUAUAAUAGUGUUUAUUUUUUAUAGAAUAAAUAUUCAUUCAUAGCAACUUUGUCCAUACUAUGGACAAAGUUGCUAUUGCAUUGAAGAAAAUGGCAAAUACAAUAGUAGAGUUUGGAGAAGCUAUGGCAGAAGCAAGAAGGGUGAAACCAAAAAAAUGAAAUUCUCAAGAAUACUUUCAAUUAUGUUUCAGAAAUGUACAACAACUUGACAAGCUCCCAGAAACACAAACCAACUAUUUCAAGAAAUCUAGAUCAAGAUGAUGAUUUUUUCAAUGAUCCAAAAUUUGUUAAAAUAGUAGUAGGGUUUGAAAAUAUAAAUCUGAAGCAGACAAAAGUUAUUAACCAACCUACAUUUUCAUUGGGGCUUACACCAAAUGAAGAGAGUGGAGAGUAUCAACAGAAUAAAGAAGAGGUUGAAAUGUUCAAUAAUGCAAUAUUUUCUAACGUUCUAGAACCUUCAGAACCAGCAUAAACCACAAGAAACAACUGUAGCAGUUCCAAAAAUAUCUUGAGCUAUUUUACUUUUGUAGCAGUUCCAAAAAUGUUGUUUUUUUACAACUGUAGCAGUUCAAAACUGAGCUAUUUUACUAGAAAAUAUCUUGAGAAAUGCAAAGCUUAUAAGUAAUUGGAUAAAUUCCUAUUAAAAAAUUAUUAUUUAAUAUAUUAUAUAUCUUUUACUUACAUAUACCUAAUUUUAUAGGUAUUUUUCGUGGUUCUUCGUGAAAAUCGUUACUUUUUCAUUUGCUCCAACUUUAUCAAAAACAGAAUACAACCUAUAGAUAAUGCGACUCCCAAAGAAUAUUUCAUACUUUAAAAAGUAUGAACAUCUCCUAAAAACACUGAUAAUAUUCAUUACUUAUUAGUUAAAAUGUUCAUAACUUAUAAUUAAAAUGUCCAUAACAAAUCUGAUUAUAUAUUGGUUUUUAUAUUUUUAGCAUACAUCAUUUUAAAACUAUAUGGAAAAAUAUCAAAAGAUAAGUGAAAAGGUGAAGAACUUCUCAAAACAUUUCUUAAAAUUUCCACGACAAUCAUCUAAAAAUAAUGUUGAUUAUGGCAAUGUAUUGCAUGAGGCACAUGGAAACAAUUAAAGGAGAUCUUCUAAAUUGGAAUGCAAAACUGACAAAUAAUAUAAGUUUUCAAUGUGACAUUAAUUCUUAUAAUUACUACAGCUAUUACAUAUAUUAAUUUUUUCAUUGUUAAUUGCAGUUUGAUGAAUUGAAAGUGCUUAGAGCAAAAUACUGUUCCACUAUUCUAAUGUCAAAUUUCAAUAUCAUGAACUUUUGAAAGCAGCAAAGAAGAAGUUUAUUGAAUGAAGAAUAAUAAUGCAUAGUAGUGGACAUAUUUCAUUUUUUUUGUAUAUUUUGAUUGUUUAGGAACAAAUUUCAUUUUCUAAAAAUUUUUAAUUUCUUUUUAACAAUGGACAAAUAUUUUUUUAUAAUAUUGUUAUUACAUCUCUUAAAAUUUUUUCUAUUGAUAUUCAAAUGUCCAUAAUAAUGAACAUGAACAAGAUAUUUUGAUGAAUAAUCUUUAAUUAAGUAUAAACAAACCACGAAUAUUCAUUACAAUAUGUUAAAAUGUUCAUGAUCAUUCAAUAGAAUGUUCAUUAACAUUCCUAUUUGUAAGAUUUAUAUGAAAAUUUUAUGUUCAUUUCUCUUUAAACAAUUGUUCAUGAUGAUACUAUUACAUAUUCAUGAAAAUAUAUGGUUAAAUAUUAAAACUAGAACAUAAUAAUAAUUCUUUUAAAAAAAAUAUGUUCUCAUUAUAUUAAAAAUCACAUAAAAAAGUAAAUAAAUUACAAAAAACAAAAUCAGUUGUCAUCGACCAUUCAAAGUAUUAAAAUUUAAUGAAUGUAUAAUUGAAGUAUAAUUUCUUGAAUUUAAAAUUAGUAUAACACUUACCAAUUCUGAGCUGCUAAAACUUGAGUGUACAAGAUAUCCCUCUCUAACUAUUUCAAUAACAGUUUUUUUAGAAAAUCAAAAUAUAAGCUAAGAUAAAUAUAGCAUAUAUAAAUUAAAAAAUCAACAAAUAAAGUACCUAAAUUGAAUUAUGAACUGCCAUUUUUAUUUGCAAUGCAGGCAUUUGAACUUUCUCUUGCGUCUUUUUGCUUGAUUACAUAUUUUUUCUCUAUAACACUCUUGACAUUUUGAUUACACUGACCUUUUUACUCUACGAAUAAGAGGAUUUUAAAUUUUCUUAUAUGAAGUUUUAUCACAAUCUUUCAAAGAAACAGAACCAACCUCACUCACAAUGUUAUUUUUUGCAUUCUCAAAAGCUAACUCACACUGUUCUCGAGCUUUAGCAUUAUGUUCACUAAUUGAAAAUAAUUUUUAAAAUUUUCUAGCCAUUUGAAUUUUUCAAAGUGAAGCAGCUACACUAGAUUCAUUUGACGAACAUAAAGUCAUAAGAGUAUCUCUAUCUUUGCUUUUAAUAACUCAUUUCCUCCAUUUACUAAUUAUAUAUUUAUCUAGGAUAGCUUCAAUAUAAUGAACAUUCAAUAUAUGCAAACAAUGACAGCAAAGAAUCCCCACCACUAAAAUCGUCUUGCAAGUGCAUCAUAUACUCAAAUCAUGCUGAUUGAAAUCAACCUCAUGUCGAAUCACAUCCACAUCUAGCCGCCAAAUAUGAUAUUUAAUGUUACUGCAAUUUAACAUCACACAUUCUUGAUGACAUGCAACUCUCUUUAUAAAUUGCUCUUCAAACAAAAAAAUUAAAUAUCUAUUGUGUAUAUCUUUCUAGCAUGUAAAAGGAGCUUCACAUGAUUCAUUACUAUAGCUAGUUGACCUACUAUAUAAUAUAAUCUUCCCCAUUCUCUUUACUUCUCCAUUCUGAGACUAUAUCAACAAAUAAAUUAUAAAAGUCACAAAGACCAACAGUCCUAAAAACUCUUCUAGACAAGAAACUGUUUGUUGUCUCACUCCUUUACAAUGAUAAAACACCACUUACAAAAUAGUCUUUACUAAAAGUAGAGCACNNNUAGAUAAUGAAUAAUUAAGGCAAAACAAAAUUAAUUAUUAUACAAUAUUUAAUUAAAUGAAUAUCUUAGUACAUAUAAAUUAACAACAAAUAAUAUUACAUAUCUAGUCCAAUAGAACUCAAACUCAACCUUCGUAUCCAUAUAUUUCAACAAAAGUUGAAUAAAUCUACAAAUCCUUUUUGACUUCUUAAGGAUUUAAUAUUUUUCUUUGAAUUCUCUCCAAGAUGCCAUAUCCAAAGCCUAUGGCAUGAGUUAAGAAAUACUUGAGCAAUUGCAACAGUCAUGGCAGAAGAUUGGUCUGUCAUUAUUAUUUGUGGAUAUUUCCUUUGCAUAGAUCUUAAAAAAGUGUUGAAAAACCAAACAGAAGGUGAGCUACAAUUGUCAGAAAGAGACUUAAUCUCUGAAUGAGCUCAUCUCACAACUGUGUUUAGUAAGAAGAAAGGGUAAAGCAAAAUAUGAUAGAAAGUGCUCACAUGGCCUCAACCUUUAAAGAAAAGGGCAAGGGAAAGAAAAGGAAAAAGGAUAAAGAAAUUGCAAAUACAACAUCUCAAAAGAAACAACAAAAGAAACUAGAUAAACCAAAAGGUAUUAGUUUUUCUUUUGUGGAGUUGAAGGUCAUAAGAACGCAUGGCGUGCUAAGAAAGGUAUGCUUCCUAAUUUGAUUUGUUUGGAGGUUAAUUUAAUUGUGGUUCCUAGACACACAUGUGGAUAGAUUCUAGUGCAAUAAUUUACAUCAGUGUGCCUAUGCAGGGUUGCCUGAAUUGCCCAAAGCCAAGUGAUGGUGAAAGAUACAUCUAAUGUAGUUGACAGUAAAGCAGUUCAAGGUGAAGCAAUUGGAACUUUAGAUUAUUGUUAAGGAUUGGAUUUUAUUUGGAUCUUAAUAAAACAUUUAUUAUCCCGUAUUUUAGACGAAAUUUUAUUUUUAUUUCUAUUUUGGAAAAAUCAAGUUAUUCUCGUUCAUUCGAAAAUGGAAAAUUCAGUUUGUUUCAUCAUUCAAAAUUGGUUGGUCCCGGUUCUUUUUUAGGAUACGAUAAUUUUUAUUCAAUUGAUACAAUUGCUUCAUUUAAUGAAUCCCUACAAUUAAGUGCGUGAGGUACUAAAAAAUAAACCAAUGAGAAUUCAAUUGUGUUAUGGCAUAAGAAAUUAGGUCAUAUCUCUAAACAGAGAAUGGAAAGACUUGUGUUAGAUAAAAUUUUAGAUCCCUAAAAUUCAUAGACUUUGAUGUUUGUGUUAACUGUAUAAAGAGAAAACAAACCAAUAAAAGGAGAUUUGAAGCUAACAUGACUCUAGACGUCUUAGAACUUAUACAUACAAAUAUUUGUGGACUAUACCUUAUGAUUGCUUGGAAUGGCCAGCAAUACUUUAUAACAUUCAUAAAUGAUUUAUCCAGAUAUGGCUAUAUAUAUAUAUAUCUCAUUUAUGAAAAGUCACAAUCAUUAAAUGUGUUCAAAUAAUAUAAGAUUGAAGUUAAGAACUAACUCAAUAAAAGAGUCAAAAGUAUUAGAUCUGAUCGUGGUGGUGAAUACUAUAGUAAAUAUAAUGGUUCAGGUGAACAAUGUCUAGGACCAUUUGCUAAAUCCCUAGAGGAAUGCAGUAUCAUCCUAUAAUACACCAUGCCGAGUUCACCCACUAUGAAUGGUGUAGCUAAAAGACACAAUAGAAUGCUUAAAGACAUGGUGAGGAGCAUGAUUAGUCAUUCUACCUUACUAGAAUCACUAUGGGGAGAAGCACUUAAGACUCCAGCAUAUAUCCUUAAUAAAGUUCCAACUAAAGCAAUUGUUGAAACUCCUUAUGAACUUUGGACGAGCAGGAAGCCUAGUUGUCCAACUGAGGCAAGGCCUUAUAAGCCUAAUGAAAAGAAACUAGACUCGAGAAUGGUGUACUAUUUUAUUAGAUAUUCUGAAAGAUACAGGAGGUACAAGUUUACUAAGUUAAUUUUUGAGAUAGAAAAUGCUUGGUUCUUUGAGGAUGCUGAGUUUGUGGGGGAAGAUACAAUUAAAGGCUUUAUCUUUGAAGAGAAAUACAUUAAUGUUCCCCCAAGUGUUAUUGGCAUUGAUCAGGAUCCUAUCCCUGAUUUUGUUCAAGAUACAAUAGAUCAAGACAAUGUUAAAGAACCUCCCUUUCAAGAAACUAUUCUAGAAGAACAAACUCAAGCACCUCAAGAACCUAUGCCAUUAAGGAGUUCCACGAGGAGAAGUGCAGUGCCAAAUGAUUACAUUAUAUUUCUUCAAAAAUAUGAGGCAAACAUAAGAGUGAUGAAAGACGAUCCAGUCAACAUUCAUCAAGCCAUGGAAAUUUCUAACUCUAAAAAAUGGAUUUGAUGCCAUGAAUGAAGAGGUGAAGUCUAUAAAAGACAAUUGACGUGCGGGACCUUGUCCUAUUGGUUGCAUUUGGAUAUUUAAGACCAAGAGGGAUUCAAGAGGUAACAUGGAGAGAUACAAGGUUCGCCUAGUUGUAAAGGGCUUUAUGUAGAAAUAAGGCAUCCACUAUAAAGAGAAUUUCUCUCUGGUAUCUUUGAAUGUCACUUUCAAGAUCAUAAUAGCAUUAGUGGAACAAUUCAAUCUUGAUUUACAUCAAAUGGAUAUGAAGACGACGUUUCUCAAUUUUAACAUUGAUGAGAUGAUUUAUAUGGUGCAGCUAGAAAACUUUAUGCUUGGAAACUGAAAGAAUACGGUUUGCAAACUUAAAAAAAUCCAUCUAUGGGCUCAAGCAAGCAUCUCGAUAAUGGUAUUUCAAGUUUCAUCAAGUGAUCAUCUCGUUCAAUUUUGAGAUAAAUUUGGUUGAUGAUUGCAUAUACCAUAAGUUCUGUGGGAGUAAAUACAUUCUUCUGAUUUUAUAUGUCGAUGACAUCUUACUUGCGAGUAACGAUAUAGGCUUAUUGCAUGGAACUAAGAGAUUUCUAGCUGAGAAUCUUGAGAUAAAAGAUUUUAGUGAUGCCGCUUUUGUGUUAGGCAUUAACAAUACACUAGGAUUGCUCUUAGGGUAUUCUUGGAUUAUCACAAAAGAACUAUAUCGAAAAGUUUCUCAAAAGAUAUGUCAUGCAAGAUUACAAACCAAGUGAUACCCCUAUGGCUAAAGGAGACAAGUAUAGUCUCAAUCAUUGUCCUAAGAAUGAUUUUGAGAAAAAGGAAAUGGAGAAGAUUCCUUAUGCCUCAGCGGUAGGGAGUCUAAUGGAUGCUCAAGUCUGUAUGCGACCUGAUAUCGCAUACAUUAUUAGGAUAUUGGGCAUAUAUUUAAGCAAUCUAGGAAUGGACCAUUAGAAAGCAACCAAGUGGUUCUUGCAAUACUUACAUAGAAUAAAAUAGUACAUGCUCACAUAUCAGAGGUCAUAUGAGCUUGAGGUCAUUAGGUAUACUGACUCUAAUUUUUCUAGAUGCCAAAAUAAUAUAAAAUCCACUUCGGGCUAUAUAUAUCUACUAGCUAGAGGUGCUAUCUCCUGAAAGAGUGCUAAAUAGUCUCUUAUAGACUCUUCUAUUAUGGUAGCAAAGUUCGUAGCAUGAUAUGAGGCAUCCAAUUAUGAGAUAUGGCUACAAAGUUGUCACGGGGCUGCGCAUAGUGGACAAUAUAGAUAAACCACUUGGGUGUGCACCUAAGUGUCUCUAGUGACUACGACAUUGCAAGGCCUUUCAACCUAAUUGGGAACAUGCUAAGUAGUUAUAGAGACAAGGGCGGAGAAAGGGAUUCACCACCGUGUAUUUCUCCAGGACGCAUUUACUAAUUGAGUGGAGUACUAGAUUCUAUAAGAAAGCUUUAUCACAUACAAAGAUGGACCCGAAAACCAACUUCCUUAUUUGUGUAUCCCAAUUUUUAGUUUUAUUGUUUAAUGGAAAAUUCCCUAUGAAUAUAGCAUGAUAACUCUACAUAUUAAAUACUACAAAAUGUGAUGUCCACCUAAGUCUAGCUCGUUUUAGUUAUAUCCAAUCUCCAUUUGUUUUGUUAGCCUGAGUUAACUACUCUAAUAUGCCCAAAGAAGCCCACCUAGUCUAGCACAAUUACAAGUUAUACUUUUGAUUACCAAGUUAUUACCCCAUGUGGACUACCAAUUGCAUAUUAAGGCCCAAUUCAUUCAUUUUAUUAUCAGUUAUGUAGGGCAAAGUUUACUAAAUGUAAAUAGGUUUUAAUUUAGGCACAACUUACUAAUAUAUUAACCUAAUGGACUAUAAUUUACAUACAAAGCCUAAAUUUAAGCCUAUGUCUAGGUGUCUAGUUUUAGUUAACAAUCAUACAACAGUAAUUUGUCAUUCAUCCAUAAAAAAAAAAGCAAAAAAAAAAAAUCAAGAUAAAGAAAGUAGUAAAUCUAAAUUAUUACAGCCCUUCCUAUAUCUAAUAAACUUAAGACAACGAAUAAAAAUGGCAAAAGUCAACAAAAGGGCCCGAAAUUCUUGAAAUAGGAAAAAUUUGGGAUGAAUAGCCACCUGAUGACAUCACAGAGCCGGUAAGCUCUGCGCAUAACUGAGUGAUUGUGUAUGAGCCAAUCGACUCUAGGCUCUUGUUCUAGGCCAAGUUUGUUUUUUUUUUGGCACUCCAACCCGAAAUUCUAAUGUACAUGCAUAAAACAUGUGAAACAUAAUUAAUGUUCAUACAAUGCACGAAAUAACACAUAAAAUAACUAAAUUUAAGGUAAAAAGACAUAAAACAAACUUGUAAUAAGUAGAAAUUUCUAAUAUGGCAAUUUUUAAAAAUUAGUUAUUAAACUAAUCAUGCUACCCUAAUUAGCUCAUGCCAUUACAUAUAGAUCAUCAUUAAAGAAAGAUAACCUAGCAUGUUAAUAUAUACACAUGGUUAUAAGAUUCAAAACCCUAGAAUCAGAAGUUAUAUGUUUCAAAACCUAGGAAACAUGCAUAUCAUAUAUAUAUAUAUAUAUGAAUCAUGCAAGAAACUGAUUCUAAGCAUAUUUAACAUAAGAACACAAUCAUAAAAGACAAUCAUAUUAUUCCCAAUAUGUUUAUAAUAACAAAGAUAAUAAGCAAAUUAUAAAAGAAAAUCAUAAAGGAGAAGAAAUAUGAUAAUAUGAUGCUUUGGAACCCUCAGGUUGUCACCGUAUUGUGUAGAUCCUGCAGUUUCAAGUGAUGAAGAGGAGGCUAAAUCGAGAAUAGGGUAGGAAUCCAAAGUGUUUUAGGUUUUUUUUUGUUUGAUUUUUUAGAGUGUGUAUUACCUCUAAAAAUACUUAUUAUCGAUUUUUAAGAGUGUAUAUUGCCUCUGAAAAUACUUAUUGUCAUUCUGUUAAGAGUUUCUAAUCCCUAAGCUUAGGGCUUCCUAUUCUAUUUAUAGAAAUAUGUUAAGGAAACUCUAGAGGCUUUUUUGAUAAAUAUCCAUAAUUAGAAAAACUAAUUUUGGACUUAUAAGGAGUGUUUAAUGAUAAUUAUUGAUAAAUACUGAAUACAUUAUAAAAAAUCAAUUAAAUUUCGAAUAUUUAUCAAUAAAAUAUUCUAAAAGACCUUUUUUUGUUAAUUUUAAUGUUUCAAAGUGAAAAAAAUACAUGAAACGAUGUUGGAUUUUGAAUUUGGAGCUAAUCAGGACUAUGUAGAGCCAAUCAGUCCUUUAUAGAACCAACCGGUUCUAUGCAGAGCCGAUUGGCUCAGGGUUGAAAAUUUUUGAGUGAUUUUACACCUCAGUCCUUGAACUUUUAAAAUUUACAAUUUCACCCCUCAAACUUAAUUUUUCUAUCAAUUUAGUCCAAAUUGAUUUCAGAAAAUGAUUGAAGAACCACACCUGUUUGAUUAAAGGACCACACUUGUUUGAUUAAAGGACCACAUCUGUUUGAUUAAAGGACCACACCUAAGGAUAAAAUUGAGAUUUUCCAUUACGAGUUAUUUUUCCACUUCCAUAUGUUGAAUUUGAUAAGCUUCAUCUUGAAUAGAUAGUUUUCACUUGAGGAUGUAAUUUGACUUAUUCUUAUCAUCUGGAGACUAAACUGAUAGUUUGCCUGCCUAGGAUUAAAGCAUAAUUUGAAGGUGAGAAACUAAAAUGACACUUUUAUCUUGCUUAGAACUUAUAUAUAUAUAUAUAUAUCCUUUCUAUGAAUUUUCUCAUUCACCUAUUUUUUCUCUUACUCGUUCUUACACUCAACUAAAACACCUCAAAUUUGUCUUGAAAUGGCGAGUUCUUCUUCAAGAUCUACGAGCUGCACCCCAAUUGCACUAGAUUGGGACCUUUCACCAUUGAUUUUGUGCCAUAAAGAUCUAGGGCUUGUGAAAGGGGGGAAAUCUCCAUUUUAGCCAAAUUGAACAUGCGUUAAGCAUUUCCGGCUGUGGAUGAGGUAUUUUCUUUAUCUAAACUUGUUUGUCUGUCAUUUUUAUACUUAAAUAACAUGUAAUUUGAUGAAAAAUGUGCAAAACUGAAAAAAUUGGGUUGCCCUAGUGCUUAUCGGUUCUACACAGUCUGAAACGACCAUUUGCACCUGUUUUCUUGAAAAAGAGCAACACUGUAUCAAUUAGGUUUGCUAGGCUCGGGAGUAGUUCAACGAGUUGUCGAGCUUUGUUCAAGCUCGAAUCGAUGACACUAGGUUCCAUCGGUUUGUUAUCACCCUACCUUCUACCACCGAGAGGACUGACCAUAACUCGGUCUAUGCACUACUUAAGAGGUGGAAGGAUGCUACCAUUCCUUUCACACUCCCAUCGAAGAGCUGACCUUAUCUCGCCUUUCCUUUGCUGCCAUCACAAAGAUUGACUUCCUAGGCAUGCUUGUGCCCUUUGAGGAUGCCAUUCACGAUCAAAGGUUUGAUGCUCUAGACCAUUUCAUUAUUGACUUGCUGGAGUUCUUGCCUACGCGCAAGAAAACUUAAAGCCUUGCUUAUGAGAGCAUUCUUCUUCACUAUAGAGAGUUCAUUCCCCGAUCUAAAAGGGAGGUCAAUCAAAUGGCUUGAGCCUUCCUCGUAUACUUAUUCGGGACCAUCCUAUUCUACAAUUCAAGGAAUUCGUUGAAUCUACACUAUCUAUUUCCUUUGAGAGACUUGUACCAAGUUUCUUCCUUCAAUUGGGGGUCUGCUGUACUCGCAUAUCUAUACCAGUAGAUGGACAUUACCGUUCGUAGGAGUAAGAAGCUUGGUGAUUUUUGGCACGGCGUUCACAUAAGUUGUCCUUUCCAUUGUGCAUUCCUAUUUCUUUAUCUGCACAUUGACCACUAUUUAUUUGAAUGCAGGUGUGGGCCUUGGAGCUCGUCCUUCUAAUAGGUUCCUAACCUAUUAGCAUUUCUCGGGUUUUCCCUUGAUUGAGCUGCUGGGCCUCGAGCAUGAGCAUCUCCCUGGAGUGGGCGCAGGUCCAUAUGCACCGCAUUUUGAUCAACUCCUUUAUAUCUAUUACAUAUUAGUUUGAUUUAUAAAUUUUAAAGUUCUAUUACUUACCUUUGUAUCUUCGGAUUUGCAAUGAUUGGCUUGGGGACCGUCGCUAUUGGAAUCCCUACAUGCUAUUUGCUAUAGACAUUGAGCAUAAGAGGAUACUCCUAACUGGCCCUACUUUCCAGGUGUGGUACUUGGGUGGCGAAUUUACGACUGGGAGAGGGGGCCUAAUCGACGAUGAGUGCCUAUGUCUCCUCCUCUAUCCAUGUUCUAGACGACUAACUUAGCUGACCAAGAGUUGGCAGAGUGCCUUGAGGGGUAUGAUGACCUUGAGGACCUCACCAUUCUGUUAUUGGGAUUGAUUAUGCAUCUUUCAUGACCUAGUUAUUGGGGCUUAUACCCUUAGACCAUGACACCAUCACUCAGGUAUUUUCUCUCCCUAGUUGCUUUACUUAAUUAUUAUUGUAUAGUUGUUUGAUAGUUACUCCUGUAUUACAAUUCUCAUGCGUUGCUCCUCGAGUUUCUAAGUCAGAGGAUGAAUGGCCCACUCAUCAUCCUAGGCCCACAACAUCUCGGGCUCAUCGACCGUUGCUGCUUUAAAGGCACCUCCCACAGUGAUAUAGGAGAAAUUAACCGUGACACGUUGACUAAAAAAAAUCCUUUUGUAGCAAAUCAUUUAUUAAAAAAAAAUAAAUAAGCUUAACAAAAAAGCAGAAAAAGAAAUAAUAGUAACGUGGUCCCGGGCAUCUACCAUUAUACCCACAAUGAUCAGCCAUACUAUUGCUAUCCAUAAUGGAAAGGAGCAUUUACCUAUUUAUAUAACAGAUCGUAUGGUGGGUAUAAUGGAUAAUUGAUAUACUUACAUAAAAUAUUCUUAUCCGCCGAUUUAUUCAAUGCUGGAAUCAGGCCUGCUAUUAAUAUGGGUAUUUCUGUUUCCAGAGUAGGAUCCGCUGCUCAAAUUAAAGCUAUGAAACAAGUAGCUGGUAAGUUAAAAUCGGAAUUGGCGCAAUUUGCAGAAUUAGAAGCCUUUGCGCAAUUCGCUUCGGAUCUUGAUAAAGCUACUCAGAAUCAAUUGGCAAGAGGUCAACGAUUACGCGAGUUGCUCAAACAAUCCCAAUCAUCUCCUCUCAUAGUGGAGGAACAGAUAAUGACUAUUUAUACCGGAACAAAUGGUUAUCUUGAUUCAUUAGAAAUUGGACAAGUAAGGAAAUUUCUCGUUGAGUUACGUACCUACUUAAAAACGAAUAGACCUUAGUUCCAAGAAAUCAUAUCUUCUACCAAAACAUUCACUGAAGAGGCGGAAACCCUUUUGAAAGAAGCUAUUCAGGAACAGAAGGAACAUUUUCUACUUCAGGAACAAGUCUAAAGAAAUAGAUCACUACAGGUAUAAGUAUAAAGAAAUUAAUCACUUUUAAUCUUUAACUUUUAAUUAUAAAAAUUUUAUUUUAUAAUUUAUAAAUUUACAAUCUAUAUAUUUAUAUUUUAUAAUCUAUAUAAAAUCUAUAUAAUCUAUAUAUAGAUUAUUAUAUUAUAAUAUGUAUAUUAUAUGAAAAGCAUUUGCGUCCAAUAGGAUUUGAACCUAUACUAAAGGUUUAGAAGACCUUUGUCCUAUCCAUUAGACAAUGGACGCUUUUCUAUUCCAUUCCAAUUUUUUUCUUUUUUCUUCAUUUUUUUGUUCAUAAAAAAAGAAUAUGCAAGAUAAUUUUAGGAAUUACCUAUUUUUUGAAUUAAAAAUGAAAUGUAAAAAUGUAAAUAUAAAUGAUGGAUUAAUUCUUUUAUAUUCAUUUUAGAAUUAUUUCAUUUUAGAAUGAAUUAUUCUUUUAGAAUUAAAUAUUCUAAUUCUUAGAAUUUAUUAUUAGAUUAUUAGAAUUUUCAAUUUUUUUAUUACAAUUUACAAUUACUUUUUCUAACAUUAUUUUAGUUUCUUAUUAAUUUAUAUUCUAUUAAUAUAAAGAUAGUAUAUACACUAUCUAGAGUCUAUUGAUAUAGAAUAAAUUAUAACUAUAUACUAUAACAUUAUAUUAUAUAGUUAUAAUAGAAAUAUAUAAAAACUUAAUAACUUCUAUAAUAACUAACUAUAUAGAAUAGAGGGUUAUUAUAUAUUGUUAAUAUAUAGUUAGCUAUUUAUAUAAUAGCUAAUAUAAAAUUAAAAAAUUUAUAUAAUUAUUUAUAUAAUAUAAAAUAUUAUAAUAUUAAAAAAUUUAUAUAAUAUUAUAAUAUAAUAAUAAUAUUAAUAAUUAGAAUAUAAUUAUAAUAAUAGAAAAAUAGAAAAUACGUAUAUGGUGUCCAAUUUAAUUAGACUAUUAAAAAACUAUUCAAAAAUUUUAAAUAAAUAAUUUAAAUUUUUUGAAUUAAUAUUUUUUUAGAAAUAUUCUAUAUUAUAUAUAAAAUUUUAUUAUAUUCUACAUAAAUAUAUUAUCAUAAAAAUAUUAUCUCUAUUUUUUUUUAGACUUUAUUUUUUAGUAUUUUUUAGAGAGUAUAGAGAUAUAGAUCGGGUAGCGGGAAUCGAACCCGCAUCGUUAGCUUGGAAGGCUAGGGGUUAUAGUCGAUGUUGAUUCAUCAUCUUUAACGACUCUAAUUCAAAACCGAACAUGAAACUUUGGUUUCAUUUGACUCCUUUAUGGAAUAUGGAAAAAUUUCCAGCUAUAAGAAGUGAGCAAAAAAAAAAUUCGACACAUAACAUCUAUGUCAGCUUUUCUGUCUUAAUGCAUUCAAAGCAAGGCGCUUUCUAGAUGAUCCCUCUAGACUAGUGGGGCUUUUUUAAUCUUUCUAGUUACUUCGUUCUCUAUUUCUAUCUGAAAGAAUCCUUAGGAAAGGUAGUUUGUUUCCACCGACCCAAGGAUACUAGGAGGGUUACUAGUAUCCUUUUUCAAUCGGAUAAUAUUAUAAUGAUUUAUAAUAAAUGACCCUUGAAUAUUUGUAGUCCAAACAAUUAAUCCUCAUGAGUUUUUCACACCCCGAUUAUUAUUACACCAAAUAUCUUUCUCCAAAUAUCUUUCUAUAUAAUUAUGUCUAGGAACUUGAGGUACAUCUCUUUUCCAUUUCCAUUCAAGAGUUCUUAUGUGUUUGUGUUUCCACACCCCCUUGAGACCCCGAAAAAUGGACAAAUUCCUUUUCUUAGGAACACAUACAAGAUUCGUCACUACAAAAAGGAUAAUGGUAACCCCACCAUUAACUAUUUCAUUUAUUAACUACUUCAUUUAUGAAUUUCAUAGUAAUAGAAACAAAAUACAUGUAUAUCCUACCGAGACAGAAUUUAUAACUUGCUAUCCUCUUGCCUAGCAGGCAAAGAUUUACCUCUGUGGAAAGGAUGAUUCAUUCGGAUCGACAUGAGAGUCCAACUACAUUGCAUUGCCAGAAUCCAUGUUGUAUAUUUGAAAUAAGCCUAUCCUUUAUUCUCUAUUCAUAUCAUAAUACAUAUUCCAAAAUCAAAAUAUCGAAAAAUAUCGAAACUAAUCACUAACCCAAGACCGAAAUAUUUAUAUUCGGAGGACUCUUCUGACCAAAUAAGUAAUUGUCAGUAAAUUUGUUUUUUUUUUUAUUCAAAUCCAAAGAAUUUACUUUAAUGCAUAGGUUAUCGGCUCAGCAUUGGAUAAGAAUGAGUGAAAUACCCAUUUUUCAAAACAAAAAAAGGGUUCAAAUCUUUUUUUUUGACAUGAGUGUUCUAUACCGAAAACAAUUUCCAACUAUUCAUUUUGAACUUAUUUUUGUAUUAACAUAUGUAUUAACAUAGUAGUAGAAAGAGUACCUUGCUGCAUUUAGACUUUAAACAGUUUAGCUUUAACCAUAUUAAUGGUCCCACGUUAUUGGUUGAUAGAGAAUCAAAACAUAUUUACUUUACCCAUGAAUCACGAAUUGCUAUGGUUCUUAAAGAUGAUUUCUUAAUUUAUUCAGAAGUAAUUCGCGGGAUCAUGCACCUUGUCUUUCCUAGUUAAAACAAAAAAAGCGCAACUGGUUCAAUCCAGCCUAUUCUUGAAAUAAACAACUUGCACACACCCCCUUUCCAAAAAAAUCAAUACACCAAGGACUACACUUAGAUUUAUUGGAUUUGUUGCUAAGAUAUCGGUAUUAAAUCUGAAACUCUCUGCGGAUGGCCAAUGACCCAAGGAAACGAAAGAAUCGGUUACAUUUUUUAUAGGAUCUCCUAUUUUCUUGUCGACUAUAGACAGACUAAUUAUCUAAUUAUAUAUAUUUUUUAUUCUAUUCCACAUUUUAUUUCUAUAUUCUAUAUAUUUAUAUAUUAUAUAUAUAUUCAUUUAUAUAUUCAUUUAUUAUUUUAUUUAUAUUAUUUUUUAUUUUUAUAUUUAUAGUAUAUUUAUAGAUUAUAGAAUUUCUAUUAUUUAUAUUUAUUUUAUUUGAAAUCUCUAAUAAGUAUUGUUCUUAGUAAAAUUCAGUUUAGAAUUUGGUACCAGGUCUCAUGUCAAUUGCAAAACAAAACAAAAUUAAAUAUUAUAUCCUGUUGUAGCAUUUCCUUAAAAAAAGGUUUCGAUUGUACUAGGGGGGAGGGGAGGAACAAAGCGAGUUAGUAUACUAAUUUCUCAUCCUCAAAUUAGUCCUUCAUGUGGGUUACUGUCCCAAUAAAAAUAAAUAAGUAAUUGUAGGAAUGAGAUCUUAAUAUAAUUCAAAAAACAACCAGCAAGCCCAAGACAAUAAAAAAAUACGUAUUUUUUAUAAGAUUAAACAAAAGGAUUCGCAAAUAAAAGUGCUAAUGCUACAACUAGUCCAUAAAUUGUUAAAGCUUCCAUAAAAGCCAGACUAAGCAAUAAAGUACCUCGUAUUUUUCCCUCCGCCUCAGGUUGUCUUGCGAUACCCUCUACAGCUUGGCCCGCGGCAGUACCUUGACCAACCCCAGGUCCAAUAGAAGCAAGCCCAACGGCCAAACCCGCAGCAAUAACGGAAGCGGCAGAAAUCAAUGGAUUCAUGAUAAGUUCCUCGCACAAAAAUAAAAUUAAAGAAAUGGUUAAUGAUACAAUCAAUCAAUAAAUUAUGACUUAAUUAUUCAUUCCAUCAAUAAGAUUUUCAUCCAGUCGAAGUAACUAAGAACUCCGAAUUGAAGUAAUAAUAUUAUUGAAUCAUCAGAACUACUUUGAUAUCUAUUUUUUAGUUCCUAUCCAUAAAGUUUUUGUGAAUUCAUACAACUUUUUUGUUUUUCCAUUUCUUUCUUUGUUCCGAAUCAUUCUUUGAAUUCGAACUUUUCAUUCUUUUUCUUGAUUUAAUCUCUUUAUUCAAUAUUCAAUUCACAGUUAUAAACGAAAAAAAAAAGGAAGGACUUUUCUUGGAAUCUCUAUCUAAAUCUCCUAUAGUAGGGCAGAUUAGAUAUAUCUUUUAACUCAUAGAUAACUAGCUAAUACUUAAUAUUCCAUAUACACGUCCUUCUUACAUAACGUAAACCAACUAUUCAUAUCUUAGAUUCAAUCGGAUUCUAAAAUCAUUUUUUGAAACAUUCACAAAAAGAAAAUGGGCUUAUAGCCAAUAUAUAUAUUACAUACACCUAGUUUGAUUCCACUCUCCCAAACAACCCAUUUCGUUUUUUCUUAAUCUCAUUUUUCAUAAAUUCUUCUCUUCCUUAUCAUUAUCCCACACGGAUACAAUCAAUCUAAAUGGAAGAAUUCAUGAGUCUGAAUCAUUGCAUAAAAGUUUUUGGUUGAUCUAAGUUCAUGUAAUUUCUUAUUUAUUAAUAGUUUCCUUUGGUCAAAAGAUCCUUUAGAUCUCUUUCCUUUUUUUUUUAUAAUUAAUUUAAUAUCGUAAUCUUUUUUUUUCCUUUAGUAUUUUACCAUUCCUUUAGAUGGUAUAGACCUUUUGAUUUUUGUCGAUUUAUGUGUAUAUAUUUAUGUUCACUAAGUGUAAGUAGAUUAUCUUGAACAAGGUAUAGAUUGCCUUACACUAAAAGCUAAAAAAAAAAGACUAUUUUGAAAAUUAGUUAAUGAUGCCCUUCCAUGGAUUCGCCUAUAUAAGCCGCAACUAAAGUUGCAAAAAUAAGAGCUUGAAUACCACUUGUAAAUAAUCCAAGGAACAUGACAGGUAUAGGAACCACUAAAGGUACUAAAGAAACAAGAACAACAACUACUAAUUCAUCCGCUAAUAUAUUUCCGAAAAGUCGAAAGCUAAGCGAUAAAGGUUUUGUGAAAUCUUCUAAAAUGUUAAUGGGUAAAAGGAUUGGAGUUGGUUGAAUGUAUUUACCGAAAUAACCUAAUCCUUUUUUGCUAAGGCCCGCAUAAAAAUAUGCUAUUGACGUAAGUAAAGCUAAAGCAACGGUAGUAUUUAUAUCAUUCGUAGGUGCGGCUAACUCCCCAUGAGGUAAUUCUAUGAUCUUCCAAGGUAAAAGCGCCCCC